rnacentral:lncRNA from 1 species
ACCGAGCAUCAUUAAGUCGGCAUGCAUAGACUAACUUAAUCAACACAUAAUUAGCACGCAGUAAUUUUAUUUAUUAAUUUUUCUUUGAGGAAAACAUAGUACUACAUAAAAGUAGACAAAGAAAAUCUCUUGCAUAUAUCAAGAGAUCUUAACAAUACUCACAUAAUUGACAAGUAAUAACAGUACCCAUCUUUUUAUUCAAUUGAAAAUAACAAAAAACAAUAAUGUCGUUUGCACUUAACCACUGUAAUCAGGGUUUCUCCCGUAUUGAGGGACAUUAAGAAGAUCAAGAUCAUUCACAACGUCGUCGUCACCGGCACUAAAAAGAAUUCCGAAACCCUCCGACCAAUUGCUCUUACCUGAAAGUUUCAUAUUAGAAAAUAAAUAUUCAUAAAUGCAUAUAUUAAAAUAAGAACUAUAAAUGAUAUCCAACUGAAAUCAGCCUAUAAACCUGCACAAGCCGUUUCCAUAUUCUUCAAAAUUAGAAAGAUCUCUGCUUUCGGGAUCAAACACAAAAAGUAAUCAACAGUUGCUUUUGCGAGUUCUUGCUUCUGAUUUAAUUAAAUAUACAUGCAUGCAUAUAUAUAGGGAGAAUAAAGUAACCAUUGCGGAUUACACCGAGACUAAUCAAAAUAUUAUUUUUGACUAUUCUUUCAAAGUCGCAUUCAUCCUCUCUACUUGGCCAUCUGUUCUGUGGAUGAUUUUCAUGCUGACGACAGUGCCAACGUGGUUGAUUAAUUACUAGCUAUUAGCAAUUAUAUUAUCUUUUCUUUCAAAAUAUAAAUUUAAUUUGGAAAACGUGGCCAGAACGUGGAUGAGUUUCAAAGAAAAAUGGUGCCGCCGGUGCUGAUUCUGAAGAAAGAGACGUGCCGCAUUCUUUGAAUUAUGAAGCCAAAAUUGCUGAAUUUGACAAAAGCCAAUAUCUGGAAAGGAGGCUCCAUUUGAGAGCAAUUGCAUCCCGAUUCUUUGUAUUCGACAGAAAAAGACAAAAGAAAGAAGAAAAAAUUGUGAGUUUGUGAAGUGGAAAAAAUCAAAUUUUCAUGUAUAACUGGUAUUUUCAAGUGUACUUUCUUAGCCAUCGAUGAGGACAGCAACUGAUCCCACCUCUUCCAAGCAGUAAAAGGUGGAUUCUCUUGUGACUCAUCAGAGGGAUUUUCAGCUUCUUGAAUAAGAAAUCGAUGCGGACAGAUUUAGUUUCUAUUAAGAAGACCUUCAAGUCCAUUAGCACAAACUGAAGAAAGGGAUCUGAGAUUUCCAGAGCGUAUAGUUAGAUCUGUCGAAUUUGAUUGGAUUUUUUAAUUAUAAAAGAUGAAGUAGAUUGAUUUGUGUUUGAAUUCGUGUUUGAGGAAGCCAUAGCAGAGUAGAUUGAGCUCUGAUACCAAGUUAAGAACCGAUAUUAUGGUGUUUGGACGCAGAGAAAAUGUGAGAGUCAGAGAGAAAAUGUAAGCCAGAGUUGAGAGAAAAUGAAGAAUGGAGAUGUAACAAAUUCUAGAAUAUUAUACUCGCUGACUCAGCCUACACAUUACCGUCUCUAACAAACUUAACAAACUCACACGUGUAACCAGCUCACUAAUUAUCUUAACAAUCUAAAUUAGAAAAUGUAAAGAAAAAAUAAUUAUUGAUUCAAUCAAAUUUAAAAGUUAAAUUUAUACAAAAUCUUAACGAUUAAAUUUAUGCAAAAUUCUAAUGACGUAAAAAGAACAAAUCGAGAGUUUUGAAAUCGACAAAUUAAACGUAAUUUUGGAGUUGACGGGCAUAAUCAGAGAAAAUAAGGGUUAAAUAAAUCUAGUUGAAUUGGCCGAAUGAAUGCUUCGAAUAUUUGCAAAUGCUCCUUUUCUUCUAGCAGAGUUUUGUUUGGAUCUGUCUUCGUUGGCCCAAGUUUAAGCAGAUUUUGUUUGUAUAGACUAUAGAAAAAUGAAAAACCAUCGUCUUUGGGUAUUAUAUUUGACACCGUUAGUAUUUCAUUUUAAACUUACCUUUCUUCAUCACUUGAUAUUGUUUAAGACACUGAAUUAGGAUUCAAGAGAAGAUAAUUAUAUGUUGAAUGGGUGUGCAAGAUAAUUAUAAAAUGAAAAUUUUUUGUACUCAUUUCUUUAAUACUACUAAUAAGGUUUGGGCUAUACGAAAAAAAAAAAAGAAUUUUAAGGGAAGUUAAUUAUGUGUUGAAUGGUUGUGCACGAUAAUUAUAAGAUGAUUUUUUUUUUUUUUUGUAUAACUAUAUGUUGAAUGCGCGUGCAAGAUAAUACAUGAUGAAAAAAUUGUCUUCAUUUCUUUAAAACUACUAAUAAGGUUUUGGGGUUAGGAAAUUUGUCGCACUGAAGAUUAAAAAAAAAGAUUUUGUCUUUUUUAAUUUAAUUAUUAGCAUCCUCUUAGUUGUAUAUAGUUUGUAGAAAAGUGUUUUAAUACUUGUAACAGAAAGAAAAUUGAAGUUAUCCAACCUUCGAAUAUUUCUUAUUCUAGGUAAAUUUCUAGUUAUUCUUCGUGAAAUGACAAUUUCAAAAUAUCCCAAAUUAUAGUAGAUUUCAACUCACUUUUUUUUUCCCAAAAAGAUAAGGAAAAAUGGAGCUGGAUUGAUGAAUUUUUUUUUUUUUUUUUUACAGAAAUGGGGGUAAGUUGAAAUUUACAAUAAUUUAAAAAUAUUUUGAAUUUGUCAUUUCACAAAAGGGAUAAUCUGAAAUUAAUCGUGAUAUUAACAAAUAAUGGUCAGAUGAUAGAGACCAUAUAUACUGACGAGAGGUUUUUAACUCUACAUUUAUUCAAAGACCAAAAUUCUAUAACUUUCGUUUCUUUUUAACAAAAUAAUUAACAAAUUAUUAGUGAUUAUGGCUGAAAGUCAAGUUGAUAAACCCACAAAACAACAUGGCUACUUUGACUAUUUUAAAAGCUGAAAUUAUAAAUUUACUCCGUAUAUUUAAAAAAUUAGGAUGAAGGAUCAGUUUCUAGUGCAAGAAUUAGCUAACCACUAUGCGGAGUUUGUUUAAAAAAAAGAACCAAGAAGAUCCAUCAUCAUUAAGUCAGCAAGCAUGGACUAAAUUAAUCAACACAUAAUUAGCACACCAUAAUUUUAUUUAUUAAUUUUCUUUUCAGUAAAACACAGAACUACAUGAAAGUAAAGAAAGAAAAGCUCUCGCAUGUAUCAAGAGAUCUUAACCAUGCUCACACAAUUGAUACAUAAUAAUAGUACCGUCUUGUUAUUCAAUUGAAUAUAACACAAAACAGCAAAGUUGCUUGCACUUAACCACUGUAAUCAGGGUUUCUUCCAUAUUGAGGGACAUUAAGAAGAUCAAGAUCAUUCACGAUGUCAUCAUCACCGGCACUAAAAAGAAUUCCGAAACCCUCCGACCAAUUGCUCUUACCUGAAAGUUUCAUAUUAGAAAAUAAAUAUUCAUAAAUGCAUAUAUUAAAAUAAGAGCUAUAAAUGAUAUCCAACUGAAAUUAGCCUAUAAACCUGCACAAGUAGUUUCCAUGAUCUUCAAAAUCAGAAAGAUCUCUGUUUCCGGAAUCAAAACUCAAAGAGUAAUCAAUAGUUGCUUUUGCGAGUUCUUGCUUCUGAUUCAAUAUAAUAUACACGCAUAUAUAUAGAGAGAAAGAAUGAAGUAACUAUUGCGGAUUACACCAAGACUAAUCAAAAUAUUAUUUUUUACUAUUCUUCCAACAUCGCAUUCAUUCUCCCUACUUGGCCACCUGUUCAGUGGAUGCUUUUCAUGCUGACGACAGUGCCAACGUGGGUGAUUAAUUACGUCUGUUGAAUAUUUGUUAACGUUGAAUUUUUCCGACAUUGAUAUAAAUGGCUCACUGAUUUAUAUGCAGAUAAUGUAUAUUAAUAUUACCUUCGGAUAGUGUUCAAUGAAUAAUGUGCGACAAAUCAAUAUAUAUCAUUUGGAAAAUUUUGGCCUUAAAUUUGUUGAAUUUUAGGGAGAAAAUUUGGCCUUUCUAUGCCUCCAGAAUCAAAAUUCAGAAGUAAACAAGUAGCUUUUGCAAGUUCUUGCUUCUGAUUUGAUACAGUAUAUAUGCAACGCAUUCGACCGCCCCCUCUGUUUGGCCGGAUGAUUUUCAUGCUGACGGCAGUGCCAAAGGUGGGUGAUUGGGGGGUAGUUAAACAAAUAGCGACAGUAUUAUCUUUCUUUCAAAAUAUAACUUUAAUUUGGAAAAUGUUGCCAAAACGUGAUUGAAUUUUAAAGAGAAAUGCUGCCGCCGUUGUUGAUUCUGAAGAAAGAGAGGUGCUGCAUUCUUUGGAUAAUGAAGCCAAAAUUGUUGGAUUCGAAAAAGCCAAUAUUUGGAAAAGAGGCUCCGUUUGAGAGCAAUUGCAUCCCAACUCUUUGUAUUGGAGAGAGAACGAGAGAAAAGAAAGAAGAAAAGGUUGAGUUUAUAAAGUGGGAAAAGUCAAAUUUUCAUGUAUAAGGGUUAAUUCCCACAGUGCUCGAGCAUUACCGAUAAUUAUUAGCUACUACAGUAUAACAAAUCGCACGGAAUUUUGUAAAUUGAUCAUCUAUGUUUUCAUAAAUUUUCAAAGCAUUUAUUGGAGAUAUUUUGAAUAAAAAAAUCCAAUAAAUAAACUACGUUACACUUUUUAAAUUUUAAUUGAGAAAAUGAUAGAUUACCCGUAGAUAAAGAUUCGAAUGGAGAAGAAUCAACAGUAUUCUAAGUCUUUGUGAAUAAAGGUUUAGCUCCUCUCACAAGACUGCUCGCAAGACUGACUAACGGAGUCUCUCACAAAGGAAAGAGGAGAUAAAUGCCAGAGUUCCUUCGAAGCUAUCAAGCUACAUUUCUUUUUUUUUUAUUCUCUCAUGAAUCAAUAGCUGAUCGAAAUACAUUUAUAGCUAUUAGCCUAAUGCUAAAUUUUGAGAGCUUGAUGAUGAAGGACAAAUUCAUCAUUUUCAAAGAUAUUGAAGGGAUUAUGCUCUUUCAUAACCAAUCAUUUGACAACUACACCUUUUAAGCUACAAUCACAAUAUAUAGAUCCUAAAGGGAGCGUUAAUCUAUUGGAUCCAAAUCCUCUAGUUAAAAGAUUAAUGAAAGAAAUGGAUUCUAUUUUUAACUAACUUAUUACUUUCACGCUAUUAUUUAUGUAAUUUUAUUAAUUCUAUUAUUAUAACUUAUAGGGCUUGGCUACUUUUCAUAAACUGUAAGUACAGCUCUCACAAAUUGAAUAAUUUACAUAUUCAAUAAAGUGCAGCUCUCAUAAAUGGGUCACAUAUUAUGCAAGGUAGCGUAUAUGACCCUCAUUAAUAACUUAUAAUUUAUCAAGAUUUUUUUUCAUAGGGUUUCAAUCCCAUCCUACUAAAGAAUUAAGUGAAAAGAAGGAAGCAACAUCAGCGGUGAUGUGAUGUAUUAGCGCACGUACGUAAACAGCCUGUCCUGUUUUUAAAAUUUUGGAAAACGCCAACCAGCUAUCUAUUUGGACGCCAAUGCUCAUUCAAUUCAUUUUCUACAAUGACAAAUGUCCAAAGUAUGCAGCAUUAUAUAGAAUCUAAUGCAGAUCAGGCUGAUUCAGGGACUCGUGUCAUUGAUUCUAAAUUUCUCUUUUAUCUUUCUAGGGGCUAGGUUUUCCCAUAUAACUAAGAAUCAAGAAGCACAAACGAAACUUGUAAUCACCAAAGUUUGCAAAUUGCAGCUUGUUGCGACACCGAAAAUGAGCUGGUGUCGGGCUGGUGCUAUUGUCGCUGCUAAGGUAAGAUCAGCUCUUACACUCGCAAAGGACUUCAAAAAUUGAUGUAUAUGUUGGUAUAUACGAGCUAGUUUUAGCUUUCUUAGUCCUGUAUAUUGUGUAACCAGGAAGGGAAGUAGCUAAUUAAAUUUAUCAGGUUCGUUUGAGGGAGCCUGAACCUCCAAACUACAAGUAGUUUUUUUCUUCCAAAAUCAGAGUUGUCCCUGAAGUAUUAUUCCAUCAACUUAAAUAAUGGGAAAUACAACCGCCUGUCCAUAACACUAGGCACGUGCCAACAAUUUAGCUACCUAAACAGCUUGAACUCUUAACUUUUUCAACAGCUAGCAAGACUGAUUCAAAGCAUAAAAGAGACAAGUAAAAUAAAUUAACUUGAACAAAAUAUAGGACGGGUAACAUAUGUUCAUAUUUUAAAAAGUCUAUUUCCAAUUUUUUCAGACGAAAAUCGAAGAAAGCUACCUGUUCAACUUCAAGACGACCAGAACGUGGGACUGAUAGUAGGCGUUACGGGAAUAGUAGGAAACAGAUUAGCCGAGAUAUUGCUCCUGGUGGCCCAUGGAAGUCUACGGACUUGCCCGACGAAGCCGAGAAUUGCGAGAUCAAUGGUGCCUUGAACCGUAUCGUGCUCCGUUCUGUAAUUCCAGACGCGCCCAAUGAGUACCAGCAAAUGAUGCAUCAAUUGAUACGAAGUAUGUAAUCGUAUGAUUUGAAAGGUCAAGACUUCGGUACAAAGUCAAACUGAUGGUAACGACUUAUUGAUUACCUUGCCGUCAAAUUAAACUAAGUAAUACUUCUUCCCAAUGCAAACUUCUCUAUGCCUAGUGCUCAACCAGGCACAAACUCAAAACCUUUGCACGUGUAAUAUGACGUGUGUCUACAUAUUGUUCGGUUUACGAGUUAGGCCGAUUUACCAAGAAUCUGUAAUUAUAAGCUUAUCAAAUAUCCACAUAAUGUGAAUGUCAAGCAGAUUGGUUGUUGAAGAUCCACCCUGAAAGUUACGGCUUGGUCACACCAAAUAUAACCUUUCUCUUAUCCUUCAAAUUAAUAAUCUUUGGAAAUAAAGCUUAUAGAAAAGGAAACAGUCAACAAAGAAGGCAACAUACAAAAGAAAGGUCUCUCCUGCAAAGUCAGAAAUUGUCAAGAGACUGGCCGCGAGAUCGGACAGUAAAGAAUCAAAUGUAGAAUUUUCAAGGUUUCACAAGCGCUAAAGCACGUGUGGAUCAGUGAGAGACACUUAUCAUUAGUUCCAAGGAAAUCAUAACAGUUCCAAUUUUCAAACUAAUUAAAAUCUUGUAUACAUCCGCAUGAAAGAUCAGGCUGUCAAUUAUUUCGUCAAACUGAUAGUCUGUAAAAGAAUGAUUUUGAAUUUACCCCUUCAGAUGAUGCUCCUGGAACUGUGCUUGAAUUUGAUGGUCUACUGAAAUUCCAGAUGAGCCCAUGGAUGAGAGUUUUUCCUUUAAAAUAGAUGCGGUGACAUCACAUCAGCAUGUCCGGUAGUAUAACAGCUCAUGAUAGUGCAACAAAAAAUGUUGAACAAAUCAUAUUUCAACAGAACAAUGUAAUGGAGGCAAAACACUCAACGUUCAAGGAAUUUGCCCACUUUUUCAUUCAGAGUGUAUGCACAAAUACAACACGCUAAAGAUGAAACGAAUGGUAACAUUAGAUGUUUCAAAAGUAUCCACCACAAGCUGUUAAUAAGAUCCAUAUAACCGGAGAGGCUUCCUGCUGUACCGUACAUCCGCCUUGGCCGUACAGCAGAAAUACUAAAAUUCUAUAUUUUUUUUUCUUUUAACAAAGUAAUAAACAAAUUAGCAGUGAUUAUGGCUGAAAGUUAAGUUGAUAAACCUACUAAACAACUUGACUAUUUUGACUAUUUUAAAAGCUGAAAUAUUAAAAGUUAAGAUGAAGGAUCAGUCUCUAGUUGCAAGAAUUCGCUAACCAAUAUGUGGAGUUUGUUACAUAAAAAGAUUCAAGAAGAUCGGGCAUCAUUAAGUCAGCAUGCAUAGACUAACUUAAUCAACACAUAAUUACCACACAAUAAUUUUAUUUAUUAAUUCUCCCUUUCAGGAAAAUACAAUACUACAUGAAAGUAAACAAAGGAAAUCUCUUGUAUAUAUCAAGAGAUCUUAACAAUACUCAUAUAAUUGACAAGUAAUAACGUGCCAAUCCUUUUAUUCAAUUAAAUAUAACACAAAGCAACAACAUUGCAUUCACUUAACCAGUGUGAUCAGCAUUCCUUCCGUAUUGAGGGACAGCAAGAAGAUCGAGAUCAUUCGCAAUAUCAUCAUCAACAUUAAUGCUAAAGAAAAUAACUGCAAAACCCUCUGACCAAUCGUUCUUACCUGAAAUUUCAUAUUAAAAACACAUAUUCAUAAAUACAGACAUUGAAAUAAGAACUAUAAAUUAAAUUAUAUUCAGUUGAAAUUAGCCUAUAUACCUGCACAAAUAGUUUCCAUAUUCCUUAAAUCGGAAAGAUCUCUACUUUAGGAAUCAAAACUCAAAAAGUAACCAAUAGUUGCUUUUGCAAGUUCUUGCUUCUGAUUUAAUGUAAUAUACAUGUAUAUAUACGUGGAGAGAAUGAAGUAACCAUUGCGACAAAUCAAUAUAUUUCAUUUGGAAAAAUUUGGCCUUAAAUUUGUUGAAUUUUAAAGAGAAAAUUUGGCCUUUCUAUGCUUCCAAUCAACUUAAAAAACUAAAAUUGGAAGAUAGAGAGCCGUAAACUAAAAGUUUUGUCCCUGAAAAUGAAGACACAUAAACGAAUCAUGCCCCAAUCAACUUAACAACACGUAGAAAUCGUAAAGCAUAGACCGAGAAUGAAAAAGUAUAACCUCAAGAAAAGGCGUUAAUUCCCACAGUGCUCGAGCAUUACGGAUCAUGCUUAGCUGGUAAAGUAUAACAAAUCGUACGGAAUCUUGUAAAUUGAUCAUUUAUAUUUUUGUAAAUUUUCAAAUCAUUUAUUUGAGAUAUUUUUAAUAACAUAAUCCAAUAAAUAAACUACGUUACAUUUUUUUAAUUUUAAUUGAAAAAAUGAUAGAUUGAUUAGAUUCACUGUAGAUAUAGAUUUGAAUGGAGAAGAGUCAACAUACAAAAGAAAAGUCUCCCCUGCAAUGUCAGAAAUUGUCAAGAUACUGUGGCUGCGAGAUCGGACAAUAAAGAAUCAAAUGUAGAAUUUUCAAGGUUUCACAAGCACUAAAGCACGUGUGGAUCAGUGAGAGACACUUAUCAUUAGUUCCAAGGAAAUCAUAACAGUUCCAAUUUUCAAACCAAUUAAAAUCUUGUAGACAUCCGCAUGAAAGAUCAGGCUGUCAAUUUAUUAUUUCGUCAAACUGAUGGUCUGUAAAAGAAUGAUUUUGAAUUUACCCCUUCAGAUGAUGCUCCUGGAACUGUGCUUGAAUUUGAUGGUCUACUGAAAUUCCAGAUGAGCCCAUGGAUGAGAGUUUUUCCUUUAAAAUAGAUGCGGUGACAUCACAUCAGCAUGUCCGGUAGUAUAACAGCUCAUGAUAGUGCAACAAAAAAUGUUGAACAAAUCAUAUUUCAACAGAACAAUGUAAUGGAGGCAAAACACUCAACGUUCAAGGAAUUUGCCCACUUUUUCAUUCAGAGUGUAUGCACAAAUACAACACGCUAAAGAUGAAACGAAUGGUAACAUUAGAUGUUUCAAAAGUAUCCACCACAAGCUGUUAAUAAGAUCCAUAUAACCGGAGAGGCUUCCUGCUGUACCGUACAUCCGCCUUGGCCGUACAGCAGAAAUACUAAAAUUCUAUAUUUUUUUUUCUUUUAACAAAGUAAUAAACAAAUUAGCAGUGAUUAUGGCUGAAAGUUAAGUUGAUAAACCUACUAAACAACUUGACUAUUUUGACUAUUUUAAAAGCUGAAAUAUUAAAAGUUAAGAUGAAGGAUCAGUCUCUAGUUGCAAGAAUUCGCUAACCAAUAUGUGGAGUUUGUUACAUAAAAAGAUUCAAGAAGAUCGGGCAUCAUUAAGUCAGCAUGCAUAGACUAACUUAAUCAACACAUAAUUACCACACAAUAAUUUUAUUUAUUAAUUCUCCCUUUCAGGAAAAUACAAUACUACAUGAAAGUAAACAAAGGAAAUCUCUUGUAUAUAUCAAGAGAUCUUAACAAUACUCAUAUAAUUGACAAGUAAUAACGUGCCAAUCCUUUUAUUCAAUUAAAUAUAACACAAAGCAACAACAUUGCAUUCACUUAACCAGUGUGAUCAGCAUUCCUUCCGUAUUGAGGGACAGCAAGAAGAUCGAGAUCAUUCGCAAUAUCAUCAUCAACAUUAAUGCUAAAGAAAAUAACUGCAAAACCCUCUGACCAAUCGUUCUUACCUGAAAUUUCAUAUUAAAAACACAUAUUCAUAAAUACAGACAUUGAAAUAAGAACUAUAAAUUAAAUUAUAUUCAGUUGAAAUUAGCCUAUAUACCUGCACAAAUAGUUUCCAUAUUCCUUAAAUCGGAAAGAUCUCUACUUUAGGAAUCAAAACUCAAAAAGUAACCAAUAGUUGCUUUUGCAAGUUCUUGCUUCUGAUUUAAUGUAAUAUACAUGUAUAUAUACGUGGAGAGAAUGAAGUAACCAUUGCGACAAAUCAAUAUAUUUCAUUUGGAAAAAUUUGGCCUUAAAUUUGUUGAAUUUUAAAGAGAAAAUUUGGCCUUUCUAUGCUUCCAAUCAACUUAAAAAACUAAAAUUGGAAGAUAGAGAGCCGUAAACUAAAAGUUUUGUCCCUGAAAAUGAAGACACAUAAACGAAUCAUGCCCCAAUCAACUUAACAACACGUAGAAAUCGUAAAGCAUAGACCGAGAAUGAAAAAGUAUAACCUCAAGAAAAGGCGUUAAUUCCCACAGUGCUCGAGCAUUACGGAUCAUGCUUAGCUGGUAAAGUAUAACAAAUCGUACGGAAUCUUGUAAAUUGAUCAUUUAUAUUUUUGUAAAUUUUCAAAUCAUUUAUUUGAGAUAUUUUUAAUAACAUAAUCCAAUAAAUAAACUACGUUACAUUUUUUUAAUUUUAAUUGAAAAAAUGAUAGAUUGAUUAGAUUCACUGUAGAUAUAGAUUUGAAUGGAGAAGAGUCAACAUACAAAAGAAAAGUCUCCCCUGCAAUGUCAGAAAUUGUCAAGAUACUGUGGCUGCGAGAUCGGACAAUAAAGAAUCAAAUGUAGAAUUUUCAAGGUUUCACAAGCACUAAAGCACGUGUGGAUCAGUGAGAGACACUUAUCAUUAGUUCCAAGGAAAUCAUAACAGUUCCAAUUUUCAAACCAAUUAAAAUCUUGUAGACAUCCGCAUGAAAGAUCAGGCUGUCAAUUUAUUAUUUCGUCAAACUGAUGGUCUGUAAAAGAAUGAUUUUGAAUUUACCCCUUCAGAUGAUGCUCCUGGAACUGUGCUUGAAUUUGAUGGUCUACUGAAAUUCCAGAUGAGCCCAUGGAUGAGAGUUUUUCCUUUAAAAUAGAUGCGGUGACAUCACAUCAGCAUGUCCGGUAGUAUAACAGCUCAUGAUAGUGCAACAAAAAAUGUUGAACAAAUCAUAUUUCAACAGAACAAUGUAAUGGAGGCAAAACACUCAACGUUCAAGGAAUUUGCCCACUUUUUCAUUCAGAGUGUAUGCACAAAUACAACACGCUAAAGAUGAAACGAAUGGUAACAUUAGAUGUUUCAAAAGUAUCCACCACAAGCUGUUAAUAAGAUCCAUAUAACCGGAGAGGCUUCCUGCUGUACCGUACAUCCGCCUUGGCCGUACAGCAGAAAUACUAAAAUUCUAUAUUUUUUUUUCUUUUAACAAAGUAAUAAACAAAUUAGCAGUGAUUAUGGCUGAAAGUUAAGUUGAUAAACCUACUAAACAACUUGACUAUUUUGACUAUUUUAAAAGCUGAAAUAUUAAAAGUUAAGAUGAAGGAUCAGUCUCUAGUUGCAAGAAUUCGCUAACCAAUAUGUGGAGUUUGUUACAUAAAAAGAUUCAAGAAGAUCGGGCAUCAUUAAGUCAGCAUGCAUAGACUAACUUAAUCAACACAUAAUUACCACACAAUAAUUUUAUUUAUUAAUUCUCCCUUUCAGGAAAAUACAAUACUACAUGAAAGUAAACAAAGGAAAUCUCUUGUAUAUAUCAAGAGAUCUUAACAAUACUCAUAUAAUUGACAAGUAAUAACGUGCCAAUCCUUUUAUUCAAUUAAAUAUAACACAAAGCAACAACAUUGCAUUCACUUAACCAGUGUGAUCAGCAUUCCUUCCGUAUUGAGGGACAGCAAGAAGAUCGAGAUCAUUCGCAAUAUCAUCAUCAACAUUAAUGCUAAAGAAAAUAACUGCAAAACCCUCUGACCAAUCGUUCUUACCUGAAAUUUCAUAUUAAAAACACAUAUUCAUAAAUACAGACAUUGAAAUAAGAACUAUAAAUUAAAUUAUAUUCAGUUGAAAUUAGCCUAUAUACCUGCACAAAUAGUUUCCAUAUUCCUUAAAUCGGAAAGAUCUCUACUUUAGGAAUCAAAACUCAAAAAGUAACCAAUAGUUGCUUUUGCAAGUUCUUGCUUCUGAUUUAAUGUAAUAUACAUGUAUAUAUACGUGGAGAGAAUGAAGUAACCAUUGCGACAAAUCAAUAUAUUUCAUUUGGAAAAAUUUGGCCUUAAAUUUGUUGAAUUUUAAAGAGAAAAUUUGGCCUUUCUAUGCUUCCAAUCAACUUAAAAAACUAAAAUUGGAAGAUAGAGAGCCGUAAACUAAAAGUUUUGUCCCUGAAAAUGAAGACACAUAAACGAAUCAUGCCCCAAUCAACUUAACAACACGUAGAAAUCGUAAAGCAUAGACCGAGAAUGAAAAAGUAUAACCUCAAGAAAAGGCGUUAAUUCCCACAGUGCUCGAGCAUUACGGAUCAUGCUUAGCUGGUAAAGUAUAACAAAUCGUACGGAAUCUUGUAAAUUGAUCAUUUAUAUUUUUGUAAAUUUUCAAAUCAUUUAUUUGAGAUAUUUUUAAUAACAUAAUCCAAUAAAUAAACUACGUUACAUUUUUUUAAUUUUAAUUGAAAAAAUGAUAGAUUGAUUAGAUUCACUGUAGAUAUAGAUUUGAAUGGAGAAGAGUCAACAUACAAAAGAAAAGUCUCCCCUGCAAUGUCAGAAAUUGUCAAGAUACUGUGGCUGCGAGAUCGGACAAUAAAGAAUCAAAUGUAGAAUUUUCAAGGUUUCACAAGCACUAAAGCACGUGUGGAUCAGUGAGAGACACUUAUCAUUAGUUCCAAGGAAAUCAUAACAGUUCCAAUUUUCAAACCAAUUAAAAUCUUGUAGACAUCCGCAUGAAAGAUCAGGCUGUCAAUUUAUUAUUUCGUCAAACUGAUGGUCUGUAAAAGAAUGAUUUUGAAUUUACCCCUUCAGAUGAUGCUCCUGGAACUGUGCUUGAAUUUGAUGGUCUACUGAAAUUCCAGAUGAGCCCAUGGAUGAGAGUUUUUCCUUUAAAAUAGAUGCGGUGACAUCACAUCAGCAUGUCCGGUAGUAUAACAGCUCAUGAUAGUGCAACAAAAAAUGUUGAACAAAUCAUAUUUCAACAGAACAAUGUAAUGGAGGCAAAACACUCAACGUUCAAGGAAUUUGCCCACUUUUUCAUUCAGAGUGUAUGCACAAAUACAACACGCUAAAGAUGAAACGAAUGGUAACAUUAGAUGUUUCAAAAGUAUCCACCACAAGCUGUUAAUAAGAUCCAUAUAACCGGAGAGGCUUCCUGCUGUACCGUACAUCCGCCUUGGCCGUACAGCAGAAAUACUAAAAUUCUAUAUUUUUUUUUCUUUUAACAAAGUAAUAAACAAAUUAGCAGUGAUUAUGGCUGAAAGUUAAGUUGAUAAACCUACUAAACAACUUGACUAUUUUGACUAUUUUAAAAGCUGAAAUAUUAAAAGUUAAGAUGAAGGAUCAGUCUCUAGUUGCAAGAAUUCGCUAACCAAUAUGUGGAGUUUGUUACAUAAAAAGAUUCAAGAAGAUCGGGCAUCAUUAAGUCAGCAUGCAUAGACUAACUUAAUCAACACAUAAUUACCACACAAUAAUUUUAUUUAUUAAUUCUCCCUUUCAGGAAAAUACAAUACUACAUGAAAGUAAACAAAGGAAAUCUCUUGUAUAUAUCAAGAGAUCUUAACAAUACUCAUAUAAUUGACAAGUAAUAACGUGCCAAUCCUUUUAUUCAAUUAAAUAUAACACAAAGCAACAACAUUGCAUUCACUUAACCAGUGUGAUCAGCAUUCCUUCCGUAUUGAGGGACAGCAAGAAGAUCGAGAUCAUUCGCAAUAUCAUCAUCAACAUUAAUGCUAAAGAAAAUAACUGCAAAACCCUCUGACCAAUCGUUCUUACCUGAAAUUUCAUAUUAAAAACACAUAUUCAUAAAUACAGACAUUGAAAUAAGAACUAUAAAUUAAAUUAUAUUCAGUUGAAAUUAGCCUAUAUACCUGCACAAAUAGUUUCCAUAUUCCUUAAAUCGGAAAGAUCUCUACUUUAGGAAUCAAAACUCAAAAAGUAACCAAUAGUUGCUUUUGCAAGUUCUUGCUUCUGAUUUAAUGUAAUAUACAUGUAUAUAUACGUGGAGAGAAUGAAGUAACCAUUGCGACAAAUCAAUAUAUUUCAUUUGGAAAAAUUUGGCCUUAAAUUUGUUGAAUUUUAAAGAGAAAAUUUGGCCUUUCUAUGCUUCCAAUCAACUUAAAAAACUAAAAUUGGAAGAUAGAGAGCCGUAAACUAAAAGUUUUGUCCCUGAAAAUGAAGACACAUAAACGAAUCAUGCCCCAAUCAACUUAACAACACGUAGAAAUCGUAAAGCAUAGACCGAGAAUGAAAAAGUAUAACCUCAAGAAAAGGCGUUAAUUCCCACAGUGCUCGAGCAUUACGGAUCAUGCUUAGCUGGUAAAGUAUAACAAAUCGUACGGAAUCUUGUAAAUUGAUCAUUUAUAUUUUUGUAAAUUUUCAAAUCAUUUAUUUGAGAUAUUUUUAAUAACAUAAUCCAAUAAAUAAACUACGUUACAUUUUUUUAAUUUUAAUUGAAAAAAUGAUAGAUUGAUUAGAUUCACUGUAGAUAUAGAUUUGAAUGGAGAAGAGUCAACAUACAAAAGAAAAGUCUCCCCUGCAAUGUCAGAAAUUGUCAAGAUACUGUGGCUGCGAGAUCGGACAAUAAAGAAUCAAAUGUAGAAUUUUCAAGGUUUCACAAGCACUAAAGCACGUGUGGAUCAGUGAGAGACACUUAUCAUUAGUUCCAAGGAAAUCAUAACAGUUCCAAUUUUCAAACCAAUUAAAAUCUUGUAGACAUCCGCAUGAAAGAUCAGGCUGUCAAUUUAUUAUUUCGUCAAACUGAUGGUCUGUAAAAGAAUGAUUUUGAAUUUACCCCUUCAGAUGAUGCUCCUGGAACUGUGCUUGAAUUUGAUGGUCUACUGAAAUUCCAGAUGAGCCCAUGGAUGAGAGUUUUUCCUUUAAAAUAGAUGCGGUGACAUCACAUCAGCAUGUCCGGUAGUAUAACAGCUCAUGAUAGUGCAACAAAAAAUGUUGAACAAAUCAUAUUUCAACAGAACAAUGUAAUGGAGGCAAAACACUCAACGUUCAAGGAAUUUGCCCACUUUUUCAUUCAGAGUGUAUGCACAAAUACAACACGCUAAAGAUGAAACGAAUGGUAACAUUAGAUGUUUCAAAAGUAUCCACCACAAGCUGUUAAUAAGAUCCAUAUAACCGGAGAGGCUUCCUGCUGUACCGUACAUCCGCCUUGGCCGUACAGCAGAAAUACUAAAAUUCUAUAUUUUUUUUUCUUUUAACAAAGUAAUAAACAAAUUAGCAGUGAUUAUGGCUGAAAGUUAAGUUGAUAAACCUACUAAACAACUUGACUAUUUUGACUAUUUUAAAAGCUGAAAUAUUAAAAGUUAAGAUGAAGGAUCAGUCUCUAGUUGCAAGAAUUCGCUAACCAAUAUGUGGAGUUUGUUACAUAAAAAGAUUCAAGAAGAUCGGGCAUCAUUAAGUCAGCAUGCAUAGACUAACUUAAUCAACACAUAAUUACCACACAAUAAUUUUAUUUAUUAAUUCUCCCUUUCAGGAAAAUACAAUACUACAUGAAAGUAAACAAAGGAAAUCUCUUGUAUAUAUCAAGAGAUCUUAACAAUACUCAUAUAAUUGACAAGUAAUAACGUGCCAAUCCUUUUAUUCAAUUAAAUAUAACACAAAGCAACAACAUUGCAUUCACUUAACCAGUGUGAUCAGCAUUCCUUCCGUAUUGAGGGACAGCAAGAAGAUCGAGAUCAUUCGCAAUAUCAUCAUCAACAUUAAUGCUAAAGAAAAUAACUGCAAAACCCUCUGACCAAUCGUUCUUACCUGAAAUUUCAUAUUAAAAACACAUAUUCAUAAAUACAGACAUUGAAAUAAGAACUAUAAAUUAAAUUAUAUUCAGUUGAAAUUAGCCUAUAUACCUGCACAAAUAGUUUCCAUAUUCCUUAAAUCGGAAAGAUCUCUACUUUAGGAAUCAAAACUCAAAAAGUAACCAAUAGUUGCUUUUGCAAGUUCUUGCUUCUGAUUUAAUGUAAUAUACAUGUAUAUAUACGUGGAGAGAAUGAAGUAACCAUUGCGGAUUACUCUAAGACUAAUCAAAAUAUUAUUUUUUUACUAUUCUUCCAACAUCGCGUUCAUCUUCUCUACUUGGCCAUCUGUUCAGUGGAUGAUUUUCAUGCUGACGACAGUGCCAACGUGGAUGAUUAAUUACAUCUAUUGAAUAUUUGUUAACGUUGAAUAUUUCCUACAUUGAUAUAAAUGGCUCACUGAAUUAUAAGCAGAUAAUAUAUAUUAAUAUUACCUUUGAAUAAUAUUCAAUGAAUGAUGUGUGACAAAUUAAUAUAUUUUCAUUUGGAAAAUUUGGUCCUUCUAUGCUUCCAGAAUCAAAAUUCAAAAGUAAAUAAAUGCAACGCAUUCGAUCAUCCUCUCUGUUUGGCAGGAUGAUUUUCACGCUGACGGCAGUGCCAAAGGCGGGCGAUUGGAGCGUAGUUAAACAAAUAGCGGUAAUAUUAUCUUUUAUUUCAAAAUAUAAAUUUAAUUUGGAAAAUGUGACCAAAAUGUGGUUGAAUUUUAAAGAGAAAUGGUGCCGCCUUCGUUUUUUUUUUUUUUUUUUUUUUGAAAAGAAAGUAUGCCUUUCAAUAGAUUAACUGGAAAACAAAAUACAUGAUGUCUGUUGGAAAUUCAUCCAACCAUAUUGCAGUUUCGUUCCUUCGCAGGGCUAACUUAGCCAAAGCAUGAGCUAUGCCAUUACAAGUUCUGGGGAUAUGUUGAGCUUUGAAAUUCUGGAAAUUCUUCCUAUUUUCCAGAAUGGAAGAAUUUCCAGAAUUUCAGAGAUCACCCAGAAAAUUUCAGACAUGUUACUUGUCCUCUUGGUAACUAGUUCAACUACUUCUAAUGAAUCAGAUUCAAAAAUCCCAGCAGUAACACCAACUCUUGAUGCUACCUGUAAGCCCCACUCCAUGGCUGCAGUAAUAUUAUCUUUUAUUUCAAAAUAUAAAUUUAAUUUGGAAAAUGUGACCAAAAUGUGGUUGAAUUUUAAAGAGAAAUGGUGCCGCCUUUGUUGAUGAUUCUGAAGAAAGAGAAGUGCCGCAUUCUUUGAAUUAUGAAGCCAAAAUUGCUGAAUUUGAAAAAGUCAAUAUUUGGAAAGGAGGCUCCAUUUGAGAGCAAGCGCAUCCCGAUUCUUUGUAUUCGACAGAGAAAGACAAAAGAAAGAAGAAAAAGUUGUGAGUUUAUAAGGCGGGAAUAGUCAAAUUUUCAAGUAUAAGUGUUAUUUUCUCGGUUUUGGCUUUUGAAUGAGAGAGAAGUUGUUUUUCUCCUAGCAUAUAAGGGAGAGAAAAUAAUUAUUCACUCCUUGUAUUUAAAGAGAAGCGCUGUAAUCCUUAUUUAAAUUGUGAAAUCCCUUUACGUUUAUUUAUUUGGAGUUUUUCCAUGCAAUAUUUAUAUGUCCUAUUUUUACCCCCAUUAUUCAUAAAUUUUACUUCAGUGGUGUGUCAAUCUUAAGCGGAUUUUGGCUAACAAAAAAGUGUUUGUGUAUUUCUAAUAAAGUCGGAAAGAUCAUGCGGUGGGUAAUAAUUUCCCUAUUUUAAAAAACUAAAAUUGGAAGAUAGAGAGCCGUAAACUAAAAGUUUUGUCCCUGAAAAUGAAGACACAUAAACGAAUCAUGCCCCAAUCAACUUAACAACACGUAGAAAUCGUAAAGCAUAGACCGAGAAUGAAAAAGUAUAACCUCAAGAAAAGGCGUUAAUUCCCACAGUGCUCGAGCAUUACGGAUCAUGCUUAGCUGGUAAAGUAUAACAAAUCGUACGGAAUCUUGUAAAUUGAUCAUUUAUAUUUUUGUAAAUUUUCAAAUCAUUUAUUUGAGAUAUUUUUAAUAACAUAAUCCAAUAAAUAAACUACGUUACAUUUUUUAAAUUUUAAUUGAGAAAAUGAUAGAUUCUAGGGAUGGGGAAACUCAAUCUAACCUGAUUGACCCAACCCAACCCAAUCUAAUCUAAUCCAAUUUAAUUUUUACGGGUUGAGUGGGUUAUUAUAGGUUAAUUUGAUCAAUUUUUCGAACUCAAUCAAUAAUUAAGUUGGGUUGGGUUAAUUAUGAUGAACUCAUGUAACUCAACUCAACCCACAUAAAUAAUAAUAAUAAUAAUAAUAAUAAUAAUAAGAUAAUUCUCAAUUGCAAAAUCCUAAAAAUCGAAACCACUAAUCUAUUUUUUUAUCCUUUUUAUUCUUUUAUAAAAGAGAUUAAUUUGUUCUUAUAUCUACUACUCUAGAUUCUAACUCUAAACCUAAAAUCUCUCUCUUAAAUCUCAAUUCUCAAUCAACUAAGGUACUUUUUUUAUUUAUUCAUGUUAUAUUAUUUUAGUUUUCUUUAUCAAAUACUAGAUAGUGAAUAGAAUUUUCAUAAUAUAAUAUUUUUAUUUUUUAUUUCAAUAAGUUUUAUUUUAACUUUCGUAUAUUUUUCUUUAUUUAAUUUUUAAUUUUAAUUUGACUUCAAAUCUUCAACCCAACCCAAUAAUUUAAGGGUUGGAUUAGAUUGGGUUGAACAUGAUUAUUUAAUUAGAUUGGGUUGGGUUUAUCUCAACACAUUCAAUAAUGGGUUUAUCUCAACCCAUUCAAUGGGUUGGGUUGAGUUUUCACAAACCUUAUCCAAUCAAACCCAUAUCCACCCCUAAUAGAUUCAUUGUAGAUAUAGAUUUGAAUGGAGAAGAGUCAACAAUAUUCUAAGUCUUUGUAAAUAAAGGUUUUGAGCUAAUUAAAAACUGAUCCUUCCACAAGACUGAUUAAUAUAUUCUCUCACAAAGGAAAGAGGAGAUAAACGCUAGAGUUCCUUUGAAGCUAUCAAACUACUUUUUUUUUUUGUUCUCUCAUGAAUCAAUAACUGACUUGAGCGUCGAAAUACAUUUACAAAUAUCAGCCUAAUGCUAAAUUUUGAGAGCUUGAUGAUGAAGGAAAAAUUCGUCAUUUUCAAAGAUAUUGAAGGAAUUAUGCUCUUUCAUAACCAAUCACUUUGCAACUAUGCCUUUUAAACUGCAAUCACAGUAUACAGAUCCUAAAGGGAGCGUCAAUCUAUUGGAUCCAAAUCCUCUGGUUAAGAGAUUAAUGAAAGAGACGGAUUCUAUUUUUAACUAAUUUGUCACUUUCACGCUAUUCUUCAUCUAAUUUUAUUAAUUCUAUUAUUACAAUUUAUAGGAUUUGGCUACUUUUCAUAAUCUGUAAGUACAGCUCUCACAAAAUGAAUAAUUUACAUAAUCAAUAAAGUGCAGCUCUCACAAAUGGGUCACAUAUUAUGCAAGGUAGCGUAUGUGACCCUCAUUUAAUAACUUAUAAUGCGGUCUAAUUUAUCAAGAUCUUUUUCAUAGGGUUUCAAUCCCAUCCUACUAAAGAAUUAAAUGAAAAGAAGAAAGAAACAUCAGCGGUGAUAUGAUGUAUUAGCGUACGUACUGUUGAACCUAGACCAGAUUUAGUAUCCAAUCAAAGAAUCUCCAGGAUCUAGCUGAUCUCUCUAAUCAAGACCUAAAGAAUGGCUAAUCAAAUCCACACAAAAGAAUCACCCAGAAACAGUAUACAAAGAACAACAAAUAUAAGUGGUUCGGCUAGAGACAGCCUACAUCCACUGAAGAACAGAGCAACAACUUUUAUUCAAUAACCAAGAACAAGCUACAAGUUUUGAGACGAAGUUACAAGCAACACUCUCCCUGAUUUCCCAGUCCUUAAGACUACUUAUACUAGCUUAAAGUCCUUUACAAAGACCCCCUGUUAACCAGCUGUAAUCUGGGUUUGUUAGCUAACAAACCCAGAAUUUUCCCGCCUGUUGUAACUGAUCUUAACAGCCUUGAGGACACGUGUUGAAUCUUUACAAAACAGUGACCCCAAAACGACAGUCUUCAAUGCCGUAUAGAGUAAGUGGAAGCACGUGACAUUUACGUGCUUCACUUAAAGCUUUUGGUUGACGAUACAAGUUUGUCGUACAGGCUUGUAUUCUUUACAGCUGACAUGUCGUAUACCAACAUGACCACAAAUUGACAUGACGGUUGAUCUCCUGGAAAUCAGUUUAAAGCUCAUACUUUAACAGUAAACAGUUUAUCUUGUUUUCUAAAGGAAAACAGCUUGUCUUUACUACAGUAGUAAAGAUAGGAAAAGAAAAACGCAGAAUGAAUAGUUCUGACAUGGAAAAAAUUAGGAUUAUUAUGUAAUCCGCAUUGAUCAUAACAACCAGCGAACCAUAGGAGAAACCAAGUUCCUUUAAAUUGAUUAUUCUCCUUGAAAAUGAGGUAAUUUUUGGGUGGCGCAUUCGAAAAUGAAGCGAUGUUCAGAAUGGAUGAAUGUUUUGCUCCGGCAAUCUCGUUGGCUGCUUCAGCCUGGGCUCCAAAAGAAUCAAACUCUUGAUUCGCAUAAAGCGGAAAUUCACCUUCAGUUUUCGAUUUCUUUAAUUUUUCUUGUAAUUUUAGAAGUAUUUAAAUAAAAUAAAAUGUUUUUAAAUAAAAUAAAAUAAAAUGGAGCUAUUUUGUGUAUUGUGCCGCACACUAUUACGGAUGUUAUCGAAAAUAAUAAUUUUAGAGCCACAAACAUGCGGGGGUAUAAAUAUAAUUAUAUACCAGCUUUGUUUUAAAUUUAAUUAUGAAUUGAGUGUGUAAAUGUAUAUGACCGCUUAUCUGGUGAGGAUUCUCACACUUUAAUAAAGUGCUGGAAAUCUAUUAUGCCACGUGGUAUAACAAUGUAAUGCUAUUACACUGUUACGCUAUAUAGUAUGACAAUAUAAUUCUAUUACGCAGUUACACCAUAUAGCAUAGCGUAACAGCUUUCUUAAACUUUAAUAUAGUCCUAAUUUCUAGACUGGAUGAUGUAAAUAUUACUUUCUCCGUUAAGCGAUUUCAUCCCCAUUGCCGUGUGUCGUUUACUGUGGAGAUGCUAGGGUGGUUAAUCCGGAUAUGUAUCAUCAAAAGUGGAAGCUAAUAUCUGUAGUAUGUGGAGAUAUUCCAUUGAAUAUGAAGGCAGGGAAAAUAUAUGAUUAAAGGUGGUUCAAAGAAGUACGAUGUUCAAUUUUUCCCCAAAAAUCACCAAAAGGAAAGCUGAUUCAAUGAAGUUUAGAAGUUAAAUUUAUACAAAAUUUUAAAGACUAAAAAAAUUGAAUAGAUAAUCGAAACGGACAAAUUGAGGAUAAUUUUAGAAUUGACGAGGCGUAAUGAGAGAAUUUCGGGUUACUUCGAAUUUGGGCUAACAACACUGAUACUUAGAUCAUCUCCAAAAGACUCUUCAAAUAAAAUUUUACUUCUUAUUUGAAAAGUUGUAUCAAUAUUAAACACUCUAAAAGACACGUUAAUUUAAAUUCUUCAAAUAAGAUUUGUUUCUCACUCUUCAAUAUUGCCGAGUGAGUUUCUCCCUCUUCCAUUAAUAUUUUAUUAUUAUUUAUUGAAAAGAUAAGACUGCAAUAAUUAUUAUUUAUGUUUCCUUUCAAAAACAUAACAGCAAUUCAAUUUAAUAAUGAAAAGAUUUGAUUAAAAUAAUGUUAACUUAUUCUUAUUUGAUGAGUCUUUUGGAGGAAAUUGUAUUUUUCUAUCCACUUAUUUGCCACAUCAGUAAGCAAAUUUAUAUUUGAAGACUAAAAUCUAAAAAAUCUUUUGGAGAUGCUCUUACUCCGGGUCAAACCCCGAAGCUUUAGAAAACGAUGCCGUUUUGAGAAUUAAUUUUUUUGAUUAAAAAAAUGCUAUUUGCACGCACCCACGACUUAACUUAUACUUUCUCUUUUCAUUUUCGUUUCCUCUUUCUUCCCAACUACAAACCCCCUUAAAUGUUUCUUCAACUAGCAAAAGGAGACUGCACCAUGAGCAAUUUAUGAAAAAGAAAGUAAGAAGGUAAAGUUCAAACUUUCAAUUACAGAUUUAUGAAAAGGGAAAAAACACCUGCACAUUCAUAAUCUUCAAAUUUUGUCAUCCUCAUCUUCAUGACAUUACACUUCGUUGCUCAACACAAGUGUCAAAAGAAUCAACUCAAAGUCAAAGUUUUUUGAAUGAUUCAACUGUUCUUUCAAUCUGAAUUAUAUUCACAAGAAAACCCAACAUCUCCAUUUUUCAUUGGUACAAUAAACCCAAACUCUGAAGGAUUAAAAUCAACCAAAGAUUGAAGCAUUACCUCAAGUGCAGAAGUAUCACAUUGGUGUGGCCGUUGCGUGAUGGCUGUCGUUGGUGGUAGUGGCGGUGGCUUAUUUGCAGGCGGAUUGUGGAUUAUGAAUAGCUGUGAGUUGUGCGUAAUUUCACACGUGAUGGUUGUGAGCAAGGAAAGAGGAAAUAACUUGGGCUGUGAGCAAGGAAAGGAGAAAUAACUUGACAAAACAGUGCGUUUUUUCCAUUGAGUAAAACAACGCAUUUAAUUUGGGGUUUGACCCGGGACAAAUAUCAUUUUCCUUUGACAUAAUGCUCCACUUCGUCCAGAAAAACCUAACAAAAGAACUAAACUUGAAGUGUCGCAAAAGACUGAGAUGGAAAACAAAAUGGAAUUCACCGUAUUUUUAUCACGUUCGGCUCGACAAAACAAAAAGUAAACUUAUUCAUAAAUGCAUAUAUUAAAAUAGUUAUAUAAAUAAUAUUUAACUGAAAUUAGCCCCGAAAAAAAUAAUAAUAAUAACUGCCCAUUAUGGGUAGAGCAAAUUGAGUUUAACAAAUUUGAAGCACAUGCCACCACACACUCUUCCUGCAACCAUGGUAUUAUUGUUUAAUGGGGCUAUUUCAGAAUUGAGACGGACAAGGGGUGGGUGAUUUUAGAAUUGAUGGGGGUAUUCAGAAAGAGGGAUGAACCCGAUUGACGUUUCCGAGUUCUAAUUGGGGCAAAUGUUUUUCUUCUUCUCGGAGCUGGUUGCAUGUCUUUGUUGUCAAAAUGGGCUUAAAAUUGGAGUUUUGUUUGGAUCAGUCUUUAUUGGCCCAACGGGUUAAGCAGGUUUUGAUUUUAUAAAACGAACAAAUAACGUCACGUAAUUUAUAUGCAAUUUCUUCGGAUAAAAAUAUAUUUAAUUCUUAUAUUUUAAGAUUAGUAUCUAUUUAGUUCCUAUAUUUUUAAAAAUACCUCGAAACAUCCAUGCUGUUAAAGUAUUGAUACUCCUACCGUAAUUUUUUAUUUCUUUCGACUUACUUUUACAAUAUUACAUUUUUAUAAUAAUUUUUUGUUUGGACAUUAAUAAAAAAUAAUAAUUAAAUUACCAAUUUAACCCUAAAAAAAUUAUAUUAAUUUUUAAUUGUCAAAAAUUGUAUGCAAACUACCAAGUGUGCAAAUGGUGCUAAAAAAAAUUAAUAUAUAUAUUUUUUAGGGUUAAAUUGAUAAUUUAAUUAUUUUCUUUUUAUUAAUGUCCAAAUAAAAAAAUUAUUAUAAAAGGGUAAUAUUGUAAAAGUAAGUCAAAAGAAAUAAAAAGUAACGGUAUGGGUAUCAAUACUUUAACGGCUGGGAUGUUUCGAGGUAUUUUUAAAAAUGCAGGGAUUAAAUGGAUACUAAUCUUAAAAUGUAGGGAAUAAAUGAGCUUUUACCCCAAUUUCUUCUAGUGAAUGAUCUUUGGCAAAUAAUUUAUCUCAUCAGCGUGUACUUCUCAAUUAAUUCUAUUUAUUUUUAAAAUUACCAUUAUUCAUCACUUUUUUUUUCUUUUAAUAUCUACUCAAGUUCUUCGGGUGACCUUUCUAAACCAAAAUCUUCAGUUGUUAAUAUGACCUUUUUUAAACUCACUGUGAUACUGUAAAAAGCAUGUUAAUGUUAUUCUAUCUUAUGUUUGAGAUCUUCAAAAUUGUGAUAUGCGACUAAAAAAAUCUUUUUCUUUGAACCACAUGUGAGAUAUUUGACCCAUAUGUCGAAUAAGGACCACAAAAAAUUACAAAUUUUUAAUUCGGGUCUAAAAAAGACACUUGAAGAACUUGAAUAAGACCUGUUAGAAAAAAUGAUAAAUAAAGGUAAUUCUAAAGAUAUAUGUGGAUAACUAAAGUUGAUGAGAUAAACUGAAGGAUUAAAUAUCACUCCUCUUAUCCUUUUUUCUCAUUUUGAUAGUUUUCAUCACAAGUUUAUUUGAAUAAUAAUAAUUCGCUUCAAUGCGACCUAACCUUUAAUUGAAAUUUUUCGAUUGAAAAUUCACUUGUUUUUUAUUGAAAAUUUUGUUUCCUUUAUUGAUAACCAAUCGGUGUGAUUUGAUCAGCUUUUAAGUUUUAACCACUGAUUCAUUUUUGUUUUUAUUCGAAGUGUUCAUGUAAACUUAAUUUUGGAUUUGAGGGGCCAAAAUGCCAAUUAAUAGCGCAUGAUUGGACAAAUCAUAAUGCUAGCUUGAGUAAACACACUUAAAGAAAAAUUUAUUUUUGACUGUUAAGUAGAUGAGAAAGAUAAUAAUUGUGUUUAUAGCUUUAUAAUUUCAUUCAAAGGGGGAAAAUGAAAAGGCAAUAAGGUCAUGGUUUGUUAUGAUAGAGUCAUAAAUUAUUUUAUAAAAUCUGAUAUGUAAAAAUAUUAUUGAUUGAACUAAAAAUAAAUUAAAUAGGUCAUUUUUUGAUGUUCUAAUCCAACUAAUAGUGUUACGUCAAUUCUAUUCAUACAAAAUAGUUUAUGCAAAGAAUUUAUAACUUUAAUAGUACGCUACCUAUCAAUUUUUAUUAGUUUGGGUUUUCAUUUAACUAAUAUAGUUAUACCACGGUACCACCUCACAAAAUGUUUAUGUCUCUAGUAUUGUUACUUUACCAAAAAAAUAAAAAAUAAAAAUAUAUUCAUUGUGGUCUAUAAUUAACUGUCAAAUUAUCUGUUUCUUUAUCCUUUAAUCACUUCGUGACAUAGUGCUGGUUAUAGUGGUGCGCACAAUAAUCUGGCUCAUGACUUGAUGCUAGAUUAAUACUGUUUAGAUGGGGCCGGACCAUAUCUGUGACAUAUCCAGAAAAAUAACUUAUCAGAUUAAAUUACAUAACAACAAAAUAUGAAAAUUAAGGGGAUAAAUUAAACAAUAGUAAACCACUUAUAUGGGUUAAUGUGAGUUUUAUUUUUUAAAAAAAAAAAUUAAAGCGUGGGCUUUUAUAAUUUUGAAAAUUAAAAUUAAAUUUUAUGGGCUUAUGAGUUUAUAGACCUAUUUUUAUAAAUUUAAUGGAGGCUACUUUAAUACAUUUAACAGAGACUAAUUAAUAAUUUAAGUAAUUUUUUUUGAAAUUAUAUUUUUUCAAGUCUGCACUAGUCAUGAGGUGGAUUCGCAUCUAGGACAAUAUCUGUUCCCUUAUUUUUCUCAACAAUUUCAUGAAUAUAUUUAUCUAGCCAUUGUUUGUAUGAGAUCUUAUUCACAGCAAUGGUGAAUCAAGGAUUUUCAGCUGCAACCGCAAAGACAUGUGUGAGACAUGUUCCUCGCAAAAAGUUUUUUGAUUGACGAAACAAGGAAAUGGGAACAGCUUUUCGUGUGCUUUUUCAAAAAUCACUUUUCUUUUUUUGACUUUUACGAUUAGAGGUUUGAUUAUGUUCCAUAUCCACAUAUCACAUCUAGGAAUAGCCAUAAGGAGGGGAAAAGGAUCGGCAUCCGUACCCAUCUCUGAUACUCUGUUUAUAUGUUUCUAUAUCUCUUGUUCUUUUCAAAAUUAUUUGAGAGGAGGAUGGGAUCUCAAAUAAUAAAAGGAGAUUUUUGAGGAUAAUCGAUCUCUAAAUAGCUAAUACUUUUACUUUCCAAUCCUGAUUUAAUCAUGCUAAAGUAAAAGUACAAAAUCAUAUUACCAAUACAAAAAAAAAACUAAAAUAAACUACAGCAAUUAAAAUCAUUUUCAUCAAACUAAGUCAAUGCUAUCAAUAUUACAGGAUAAUCUAUAAAGUUAAGCAAAAGUAGAGCUUCCUAAUUGAACAAAUCCAUAAAAAUCACAUGGCAUAAAUCAUCAACAAAAGUAUCUUCGUUAAUUUUUAAGUGUUUACAUUACUUAUUAUUUUUAUAACUAUUAUGACAUUUAUUAUUUACAUCCAUAUCAUUCUAAUUUAAAUUUAAGUGUAUUUACUAAAGCUUUUAGAAGAAAUAAAAUAAAAUAAAUUAAAAUAGAUAUGGGGAAAUCAGGAGAGGGUGAGGAUUUCACCAAUUCUUUUUCUUUUUCUUAAAUGAAAAAUUACAUAUAAAAUUAUUUUCAUACCCUCUCUAAAUAAGAAAAAUUCAUCAAAUCUGUACCGCGGGAAUUUUUGUCAUCCCUCGCAUCAACGAGUUUACUAGAUUUCCUCCAAAUUAAUGACUCUUCCAUCAAGUAAGAAAGAACCUGCUACCCACCACUCAUUUAUUCAAAAGAAUAUGAAAAGGUCUUCAGGAUAAAAGUAUAACAUUGGGAAAAGGAAUAAGGAUAAUGCAUUGAAUCUUAAUUUAAUCAAAUGGGAUUUUACCUAACAUGCUAUCCUCAUAGAUUAAUUUGGGAUCCUUAUUAAAAAGUGCAACUUAAUUAUUUUACUUACUACUUAAAAACUCCAAUCCCCCACCAACAAGGUGUUGGUUCAGCUGGCGCCGGCUGAACCCUUUAGGUGACUCGAUUAGGUUUGCUCCCUAGUUUGAGUCUCCUGGGAGUCGCCCUCAUUGGGAGGGCUUUAUUGGUACCCGGCUCGAAUCCGGAGUAGUCGGGGCCCAAUGUGAUCGCCGGACACCGGAUGGUUAAGACAAAAAAAAAAAACUCCACGUAAAAGAUUGAAUUCGCUUAAACUUUAAGAUGCUAUAUAUCAACAAAAUAACGUACAUUAGGAUUAACUAAAGUAGGAUAUUGAUAAUAUUAUUCUUGUGGCAUUUAAUUUACUUUACUUCUUUACAUCAAAUUAUGCCUCUCCGGCAUAAUUUGUUUCAUAGUAUUUAAAUAACACAAAAAAGAAAAAAAAAACAUUUUUAUCAUAUAAUUAAUUAAAGUAUGCUUUCAUUGAUCUCCAAUGAUUUUGAAUUGUUAAAGCCAUAGUGAUUGGUGAUGAUGAAGCCCUCUCCAUUUUUCUCAUUCUGCUGUGUGUUCAUUGGAGAUGAAUUUUUAGAAUGCCAUCUUGACCAAAAGAGAUAGUUGAUGAAAUUGAGGAAGCUGAGGACUGCUAGCAACCAGUAGAAAAGAUCAAGCCUGUCUUUGUUGAGAUCAUUUUCACUUAGCCAACCUCGAUUUGAAGAACUUGAAGUCACCUUGUUUACCAAGGAAACCAGCAAUGAGCUUAAGUAGAAUCCAAAUGAAUAUGAGCAAUAGGUCAUUGCUGUUAAAAAUGCUUGCAUCCCUUUUAAGGAUUGUUUGUAGAAGAACUCAAUAAGGCCAACUGCUGUAAACAUUUCUGAUAAUCCGAAAAUCAGGAACUGAGGGGUGAUCGAAAAUAUUGAUAAGGUUUUGCCUGAAUCCAAUGCUGAGUCUCUUCUUUUUUUCUCCAUCAGGGCAGCAGAAAUCAUUGAAAAUGUUGCCAAAAAAAGGCCAAACCCUAUGCGUUGCAAAGGGGAGAUACCGGAUUCAUGGCCUGUGUAUUUUCUCGCGAAAGGUACGAAAAAUUUGUCGUAUAAUGGAACUAGAAUGACAAGCAUAAUGUAAGGGAUCGAUUGAAGGGAAGCUGGAGGGACAUGGAAAUUUUUGGUGAGCUUAUUGUUCAUGGCACUUCCUUGCUGGACUGAAAACGUUUGAAGCUGAGCCAAUAUGGUGUUGAAAAUAAUGGUGCAAGCGAAAAUCGGAACAACUGAAAUCAGUACUUUAACUUGCUCAACUUGAGUGACUGUGCAUAAUCUCCACGGACUUUCUUUUUUAUUAGUCCCAUCUUCAACUUUGAUGCAAGCUUUAUCCAAGAACCUGGAAAUUUUGAAAGCAAUCGGGGUCUAAAUGCAUUCUGUAAACAAUAUUUUUAAUAAAACAAUAAAUAUGGGAUGUGAAAGGUGUUAAUUACACUUUCAAGAUUAUUUACCUGAAUCUCUGUGUAAGAAAUACACUUCCAGAGUCAUUUGGCACAUUGUUUUGAUUUAAUCCAUGAAGCAUUUGUGGGUUAGAUGGACAAAUUUGCUUUCUCUUUAACAUCGCUGCCACAAAAACCUGUAAACAAAAAUUAUAAAAUUAACACAAGAAAAUGUAAUUAUUCAGCAGAUUAUGAUCCGUUGAGGAUAAAAUAAUUAUUAAUUCUACGACAAUAUAAUACAUUGUAUAGACAACUUUUUUACGACACUAAGUCAGCAGACAGCUUUUCAUUUCUUGUCUAGAUAACCUUAUAUUAUUCAACAUGCACCCAUUAGUAUGUUACCUUUUUAAUUUUUUAUUGCCAUAAGCAAACAAAUUUACAUACAAGAUUUGGUUUUUGGGAACAUGCAAUCAAGAUCAAAAGAAAUUAAAUUGCAUAUUCAUUGUAUGCUAAGAAAUAAAAGCGCUUGCUUAUUACUUGAGCUAUGGGGGUGAAAAUGCUUCCUUGAGGCCGUUUGUUUCUGUAGUAAAGUGUGCCAGAAACCACGCUGAACAAGCCCAAUGCCAUGGCAGCUGCGGAGACUCCGAAGCCAACGUCCAUGCCGGAGUGAGUUUGUACCCAAACAAGAACAGUUAGGGCUACCAAUUCACCUGUGGAGAAGGCAAAAUAUGCAGCAUUAAAGUAAGAUGAGAGCUUCUUGGACUGCUUAGGGUUGCUUUGAUCAAACUGGUCAGCCCCAUGAGCUAUCAUGUUGGGUUUAACACACCCACUGCCUAUUGCCACCAAAUACAAUGCCAAGAAAAAUAUUGAGGCCUUAAAUCCCUUUGCUUCUUCACAGUUUUCUGAAUCUGUUACCAUGUUGCAUUUGGGUGGCUUUAGUUGAGGAAGGUGAGCUUGAACUGAAAGCAAUAUGAAACCCUGAAAAUUAUUUGCAUUAGAAUCAAAAUCAUUAUCAAUUUUCGUUAUCCAGCAAUAGUAUGUGUUUGUGUAUAUAUGACAUAAAUGUACUAAUUAUAUACAGAUAAUAUAGUAGCUCUGAUGUAUUCUUAAAUCCGCUAUCUGUACGUACAUGCAUGGAAUCAUGUUGUAUAUAUAAAAACACUCACGUGCUUUGAUUCCAAUGGCUAGUUGUACUUGUAAAUACAUCCUAUAUGCAGAAGAUAUAUAUAAUAGAGAGAGAGAGAGAGGAAAAUGGAAGGGUUGAAUUUGAAAGAGGAAAAAACUUACAGAAAGUUCAACAAAGCCAAAGAUAAGCAUGGUCCAGAAGCUACCAAGAAAAGAAUCAGAAAGAUAGCCACCAAGGAGGGCCAAGAGAAAGACAGUUCCAAUAAAGUUUGUCACAAUAUUUGCGGAAUUUGACAAAGAGAAGUGCAUUUCAUUUAUCACAUAUGUUAUAAGGUUGUUCCCAACUGCUGCGAUUGCCAUAAUCUCAAAUGCUUGUAAACCUGACAAUAUUAUUACACAAUUCACAAUCAAAAACCUUAUCAUAAUUUGUAAAGAAAAUAGUGGGCAGUCACAAUAAUUAGAGAGAGAGUUUAAACCGAUAAUAUAUAUAAUUUUUCUUUCUCAAAAUUUAUUACACCCACUAAUAUGAAAAAUAACUUUAUCAAAAAUAAAAUAAAAGAAAAACCAUCUUAAGAAAAAUUCUCAAGAAAAUUACUUUCAAUCCUCUAGCAACCACCAGAAACUAUAUAUAUACAUGAUGCACUAUAUGUAAAUUAAUAAAUAUGCAUGUUAAUCUACUACGCAAGCAGGCAGAUAAAUAGAUAGAUAGAUAGAUCGAUAUGUCUAUAUGUAUGUAUACAAAGAGAUACCAAGAACGAAAACAGCAGCUUUCAUUCCUCCAUGCUUGUUAGGGUUUGAGGGUCUGCCUUUCCAAUCAACAGUGCUCUCUUCAACCUCCGUGCCUUUGUUGUUGUUUUGCCUUCUUGCUUCCAUUUCCAUUUUGUUUUUCUCUCUCUCACACAGAAACUCGCAGUUUCUGUUUUCUCACACUCUAAGGUUGAGAGAAAGAAAGCAAAUAAAAACUUUGCAAGUAUUUUAGAAAUUGUUGUCUUACUCUAUGCUGAAAUUGAGGCAUGUGGGUUGCUCUAAAUUUAUAAUCUCCAAGUUGCCACAAAUUCCUUACAAGAUUCUUUGCAAAAUCAAAACUCAAUGAGAAUUUCAAGCCCCACAUGCACUCUCACCACGUGGAUAACACUUGUUCUAGACAAAGAGUAGACGAUUUUGCUAAUUUUUUUUUUUUUUUUUUUUUUUUCAACUUUUUUUUUUUUUUUCAGUUUUUCAACUUUUUUUAAAGGGUAUUUGAAUCAUAUUUUCAAUUCAUUGAAUGUCGUGUCAACGAUUUGUAAUUUUGCGUUGGAUAGAGUUGACAUACACAUAAGGUUUGCUUCUCGGCCUCUCUUUGAUUGGUGGUCCAUGCCAUAUGCCCCUAUGUAUUGUUUAAUGUAAUAUUCUCCCCUUUUUUUAAUUCAUUUAAGAUUAUAUCAAAUCAUUUUCAAUUAAUUUUAGACAUGAUUGAUUUAGUUUAAUCUUUAAAAUCUUAAUAUAAUAAUCAAAUUUAUUAUUACUUAAAAUCACAUAUAGAAAGGACUACAGAUUCGCUAAGAAACUAAACAGAUUCAAUUAAAUAAUUGGCGAUUGAUUAAAAAGAAAAAAGAAAAAUAAUAUCAUACAAGUCAUAUCAAUUACCAAAUGCAUAUAGCAGUGUCCUCUACCAUAGUAAAUGUUAUCUCAACGAUUUGAGCUCCUUGUGUUUUAUAAAAAUAUUUUUUUGUUCUUAUUUUGAAAUUGGCUUACUUCUCUUUCAUUGGAUCAUAUACUUUCAGCUAUGUCCUAACAAAUUUAAUUUUCUUUUUCCCCAAAUAUAUGAGCGGUCCAAAUCAAUUUUUUAACACUACGUCAUUUUAAAAUUAGAAUUAAAAAAUUAGAUUUAACUUUACCUAUUCCAUUUGAAAAAAAAAAAAUCAAAUGGAAGGAUUCAAAAUGCGUACUACUGUCUACAUAACACAUAAAAAAAUAAAUAACAAAUAGUACCAAUUUUAAAAUAGAUUAAAUUUAUUAAUUAUCUAAAAUCUUCCAUUGAGGUAUAUCCUAUGCCGACCAUUGAUAUUCAAAACAUUUAAACUAAAAAACGAAGGGUUAGGUGUGACUUUCACUACACUUGGUGGAAAAAAAAACAAUGAUUUGUUUAAUUAAUUUAAUAAAAAUAACAAAGAAUAUUUAAUUUGAACAUAUAACUAUAUAAUGCUGUGUAUGAUUUACUGAUGCGGGUGAAAUCAAAGACAAAGAAACCAAGUCAAAAGGUUGUCGGCCUUUAACAACAAAAAGUUUUGAAACACUAUAAUAUUCUCUUCUUUUUUUUCUUUUUUGGUUCAUAAGGGUUUGAUUUAUUUUUAUUUUGAUCACAAAAAAUAAUAAUAAUAAUUUGAAGAGUUUUAAGUUUUAAAUAUGAUAUUGUAUAAAUUUUGUAAUCGGACGAAGUCUCUUUUCCAAGGCCAGUAUCAUGACUUUCCUUGUAAAAAGUGAAUCAUAUCUACUUAUAUGUUUGGUCGUUGCCAUUAGAGCAUUGUCAAAGCAAAACAUACAAAACAUUCCAAUAAGAAAUGGAAAUAAAGUGAUAAAACUUAAGAUAAAAGGAUUUAGAUAUAAAUUUACUAUAAAUUAUAAAAGAAAAUUCUACUUACUUCACAAGAUUCUUAUUAUAUAUAUAAGAUGAGUUGAUCUAAUGAACACUAGUAUAUAUCCACCAAAUAGAAAACAUUUGGAUAUGUGAUAAAAUUCUGUGACUUCCUAUAAAUAAAAUUGAAGCUGUAGAUUAAUUAAACUGUGCUUGAUAGUGUUGUGCACCGGCAAGCACAUCACUUGCCAGAUCAAUAGUAUAUAUUAUAUUCCAAUUUUUUCUACUUAUAAGAUUAAUUCUUGCUUCGAUUAUUUUUUUCAGCAACAUGGAAGAAACUUAUUGGUUUGUCGGCAACAAAAGGUGUUCAAUAUUUUCAAGUGCAUGCCAACCUAAACGUAUGUAGAUGCUGUAUUAUUGUAUGCUAUGCUUUUAUUUUCAAGUACAAUGAAAGAAGCUAAAGUGUUGGUGGACAUUGCGGGAGACAAAGUGGAGACAAAUGAAUUAUAAUCCUCUGUGGAUCCCAUUUUCCCCAUACAGUGGGCCCUUGAUCAAUCCUAUGAUCACCCACUUUGAGAUUGCCACGUGUCCUCAAUUUCGUCAUUCUUUCUUUGCAUAAUAAUGAUACUGACACUAGUCAAACCUUGCAUUAAUACUGAACACAAUUUAGGAAAAGAGGCACUUCCUCUCCUUUCAAGUGAUCAACUCAAGAGGAUUCCCGCAUUGCCAACAAUUUUGACUCCAUUUAAGUUAAUUAACAAUUUAUUAUUAGCCUGGUUUCUUUAAUUUUCUAAAACAUUUGAAGAUAACAUAAUUAAUCUCUAUCUUUUGACUUUUUACGAUAUGAAGGAUAAGUAAAAAAUCUACUUAGAUUUUGAAGAUCAAGUUAAAAAAUGAUCCGCUUGAUAGGCAUUUGAUUAUGUGGAGGUAAUCCUUAACAGCAAAAAAGAAACUAGCGCAAACUCACCUCAAACCAAAAACAAAAUUACGAAAAAAUAAAGGUCUCAAUUGAAAUUUCACCACAUUUACAUGAAUUUUACAUGUGGCCCCUUUAAUUUUACACAAAUAUGUUAUAGUCUACUAUAUUUAUAAUCUCUCCAGUAUAAACUCGAUCAAACCAAAAUCUUAGUUCCGCUACUGGCUUAUGGCUUAUAAAUACUUAGAUAACAAUGAAUUUCAUUAAAUUUAAAUCCAACAUAUAGAUCUCUUGUCUUUAAUCAGUCGUAAUGAGAAUACUAUAUUGAUAUUCAUUAGAUGAUUAAUCAUCUAAAGAAUAUACAUUUUGAUAUAUCACCAACAUUUGGGGUUAUAUAUAUAUUUUUUAAUUUAGUCAAAUAGCCUUAUUUAUAUGUGUUUUUGACAUGUCACUCCUAUUCUAUUGGUCUAAUUUCGAAGAUUGAGUAAGUGAAACGAUUUAUCUAUAUAAUGCCCUCUUUUAGUGGAUUUCCUGUUAUCAAUAUUAUACAUAUCACCUUCAAUCCGUAAAAUAAGUCAAAAUGAACUUAGACACACGCCCACAAAUGAAAAUUCAACAUUUUGGAGCAAUGAGUUAAUCAAAUCGAAGCAACAAACCAUUUUCAAAACUCUUUUACUAUUUUAUUGAAAUAAGUCAAAAAAGCAAUUGAUGGGUUGGUGGUUGAGCACACCAUACAUAGAACCUCAAGCCCUCUUUCUUCUUUUAUGUCUUCCUUUUACUUCCUUUCUUUUCUUUUCUGUUCACAUACCAUGUCCAUGCCCACAUUCACAAUUCCACAGUAUAUUUUAAAAAAUUAAAAAUUAAAAAAAGGAGGGCAUUUGGUACUAUUUGGGUUCAACAUAUGGCUUAAUUUAUCUUUUAUCAUCUAUUAAAAGACAAAAGUCUAGCCAAUCAAUUUAAUUAAUUAAUUAAGAAGUGAAAGUGCACUUUGAGUUUGGAAAAUUGAAACAUUAAUUGUCCUAAUGGAGUAGCCAUGUUCAUAUUGAAUUUUGUAGGCUUUGACAUUGUUUUGUAUAGUCUUUAAUUCCGUUUGGUUUGCCGACAAAAUUAAAGAUUUGAUGAGGCAUGCAAUUGCUACUUUGUCCGGAUUUUCUCAUACCCACUAAAUUUUACUUAACAAUAUUGGCCAUCUUCUUGAUUAUUCUGACAUAUUUGGGUCAAAGACAGUGUUAUUGCUUUAGCCUUUUUGGCUCCUUAUGGAAAUUAUUUUUAUUUCCCAAAACAUUCCAUAAAAUUGUUUAAUUCGCUGCAUUUCUUCAAGAUAUAUAAGAUAUAUGAUGAUAAAAUAUCUCAAAUGACAAAAAAAAAAAAAACUCUUAUAUUUGGUGCUUUUUAUCCUACAAGAAAAUUUAAAAAAAUGCUAUCGAGUUUUUUUCACUCUAAAAUUAUAGCAAGAAAAUACUUUUGGUUUGAAAAUACUACAACUUAUAAUCAUAUACUAGUAUACAUAGAAGGGGUGUUUGGCAUCCCUAAUUACAUACGUGAUGCAACCCUAGGUUUAGUGUAGUAAGUGGCCGGAAGUGGGUCAGCUAAUGCGGCAGUGGCUGCGUUAGCUUCCCUCUUUUUUUUUUUCUUUUUUUUUACUUUUACUUUAUUAUUAUUAUAAUAAUAAUAAUAAUUAUUAUUAUUAUUAUAAUAAUAAUAAAGUAAAAGUAAAAAAAAAGAAAAAAAAAAAGAGGGAAGCUAACGCAGCCACUGCCGCAUUAGCUGACCCACUUCCGGCCACUUACUACACUAAACCUAGGGUUGCAUCACGUAUGUAAUUAGGGAUGCCAAACACCCCUUCUAUGUAUACUAGUAUAUGAUUAUAAGUUGUAGUAUUUUCAAACCAAAAGUAUUUUCUUGCUAUAAUUUUAGAGUGAAAAAAACUCGAUAGCAUUUUUUUAAAUUUUCUUGUAGGAUAAAAAGCACCAAAUAUAAGAGUUUUUUUUUUUUUUUGUCAUUUGAGAUAUUUUAUCAUCAUAUAUCUUAUAUAUCUUGAAGAAAUGCAGCGAAUUAAACAAUUUUAUGGAAUGUUUUGGGAAAUAAAAAUAAUUUCCAUAAGGAGCCAAAAAGGCUAAAGCAAUAACACUGUCUUUGACCCAAAUAUGUCAGAAUAAUCAAGAAGAUGGCCAAUAUUGUUAAGUAAAAUUCAUUUGUUAGUGAAUAUGUUACAAUAAUUGUAUCACUUUAUUAAUUUAUGAUUAUCUUGUGGCAUGUAUAAACUUUUAUUCUAUCAUCCUAAGAUGACUUUUGAAUUAAUCUUGCAGGUUUAAAUCAUUUAUCUACGUUGUUAUAUUAUUUAGAUAUUAUUUGAUUAAAUUAUUUACUUCGAUCUUUAUUUCACAAAUUAUAUGUUUAGAAAAUACUUCAAAAUAAAUGUCAUACUUCAAAAUUUUAAGGCUAUAAGCUUCGGUCUUUAUGAAGAAAUUAUGAUAUUUUUUAAUGUUUACAUAAAAAUAUUGUUAAAUUCUAAAAUUUAAGGCUUCUAUAUUUAUUAUUUUUCUAAGUACUAAUAAAUAUUAUUUUCUAUAUAACUUAAAUUAAUCACAAAAAGAUUAAUAUAGUACAGUGCAACACUAAAUAUAGUAUAAUUAAAAAUUAAUAUAGUAUAUUGUAACACCAAAGUGAAUAUGUUACAAAGUAAAUAUAGUAUAACACUAAAGUGAAUAUGUUACAAAGUAAAUAACACCAAAGUAAAUAUAGUAUAACACUAAAGUGAAUAUAUUACAAACAUUGUAUGGCAUUGUCAUAAUAUAGUAAUAAUACAAUAUAAUAUAAUACAAUACACUUAUGUUAAAAUAAUGCAAUACAACAUAUUACAAUAUAAUAUACUAAACGCACCCAUAACCUCUUGCCUUCAAGGUUAAACUCCUAAAUAAAAUUAUUUAACUAACAUGAUAGUUAGAGAUGCAGGUUUGUCCUCAUGGUCUGCGUUCAAAUCACCUUAUCAUGCACACAUUAAUUUAUAAUUCACGCAAAACGAAUUAAUGGUCCGAGUUUUAUUGAUAUUUAGAUCUGUCUGUGUCUUAUAUAUAUAUAUAUUUGAAAGGGUGUCUUAUUUAUAUUUAGAUCCACGUGAUAAGCCAAAUCAUUUUGCACAUGUUCUAUUAGUACAUUUUUUUUUUUCAAGUAUUGUCCGAUGCCAACUUAAUCUCCUCUCAACCAAAGUGAUUGCACGGUUCAAAAUUCAAGCAUCUUGCUGUAACACUAGAUUUUGCUAGUUAAAGCAGUUAGCACCUUCUCUUUCGAUACAUGCAUGGGCCGGAAUUAUUAAUAAUUGAAUGAUAGAUCAUUUCUCUUCUUAUAUAACCUCUCUAGUCUACAUAAUCAUACACAAUAUAGGAAUAAUUUUCAUAUAAUUAUAAAAAAUUAUAAUCUCGAUUUGAAUAAGUUAUAAUUAAGAAUAAAUUUUAUAAUAUAGUAAGUUAUAAUUUUUAUAUAUCUUGCUUUAAGGACCUUAUCUUUCUAUAGUAAUAAUUAUUUGUAUAUUGUAAAAACUAAGGUUAUGUCAUAUUUAAAGUUUUAAGAUGGAAUACAAUAUUUUUCUAAAGUUGUUUGGGACAAUAAUUAACUCUUUAGACUUUUAAAAUUACUUUACAUAUUCCCAACACUAUAUAGAUUUGUACAGUUAUUCUUUAGUAAGGACAUCUUCAUUUUAACAAAGUGAGGAUGUCGAUAAAAUAUUAAAAAAUAUAUAUUUUAAUACAUUAGAGACUGUGUUUUUUUAUAUGUUAGUAUAUUAAAAGAUGUGUUUCUUUUGUUUAUUAGUGGCAUCCUCAUUUUAACAAAAUAGCGAUGCUCUUAUUAGAGAAUUAUUAUAAAUUUGUCUACUAGUAUUCUUAAACUAAGAUUAUCUCUAUAUAUACAUUGAUAAAACAUGCUUUAUUUUAUCAAUGUAUGACAUAUUUUACCUCUAUAUAACUUGCACUAAAAAUAAUUAAAUCAAAAUAAUAGUUUUUAAACUACACCUCUAUAAUAUUUUAACAUUCUUAUAAUUAUCGGAAGAUUUUACUGUAUAUAAAUUAAAAUUUUCUUUUAAAUAUUCAAAAAUAAAUGCGGUUGUCUUAUUACCGAAUAUUCAGAUUACAGCAUGAUAUAGAUCUGAUAUGAAAUCGAAAGAAAAGCUUUAGUGCAUGAUUAAAUAUUUACUGAAGCACUGAGCAUUGUUGACUUUAUUACAUAAUGCAAGUAAAGAAUGUCAAAGCCUUUGACAAUGGGCUUUGCCGUAGCUUUUUACACGCUAAGUGGAAACUUUAUUUGCCCCAAAUCCAAUGGUAAUCCGAAAUUGAUGGGAUCUCAAGUAAUCAUAAUUUUAGCCACUCGACCUUUGGCGGAGUGGUCAGGGCUGCUGCCCUCCAACUUGGAGGGCAGCAAUUCGAACCCCACAAGUGCAAUGUGGGAGUAUUUUCUUCCUCAAUUAUAAUUAAGUGAAUGUAGUCUUCUCUCUUAUCCAUGAGUGAGGAGUAGACAUCCCUCGAAUAUUAGUGAAGGUUAAAAUCUGGGCAGAGCUCCAUUAACAUUGAUGUAAGUCGGUCCUAGUAAUAGUCUGAUUUGUAAAUAUCAGUUAUAGUCCCAUGUAAUAUGAGUUGUAGUUUGAACAAUAGUCUCAUGUAAUCAAAAAAAAGUAAUCAUAAUUUUCACCAUGUACAUAACAAUACCUUUUAAAAUUCUCAAGAAAAUAUUUUGUUUAUGGGUAAUAAUUUACUUUUGGAAGCAAUAUAUAUAUAUAAUGGUAUUUUUACAAUUAUUUCCUAGAUAGAAAAUUCACACGGUGUUAAUGAAAAAAAUAAUUCGCUUAUGCAAUUCUAAAAUUUAAGUGGACUAGUGCUUAUGUUUUAAGAAUUUUAAUUUCUUUUUAACUAAAUAUUAAGCGGACCACCAAUAAUUUUCGUAUUAGAAACAUUUCUUGUUAAAUUUUGACUUUCAAAAUUAUUAUCAUACUAUUGAUUAAUUCUUUUCCUCUUCAAACCAAAGAAGUAAUCAUUAAUCUUUCAUCUCAAUUCAUGGUUAUAUUUCCCCAUCCAUAGUUGUGAAAUUUUUGUACUUUGGCUUCCAUAGCCACACAAUAUGGUUUUCGAGAGAAAUCCAUACAAAUUUUUUGAUGGGUAAAACUCAAAAAGGGUAUCAAUCAUGAUCUUAUAUUAGAUACGCAUAAAUCUAUAAAAGAAACAAUAAUCUUUCUUGAUGUGGACACAUAUAUUGAAGGUCUUAUAUCAAAUAUAUGUAUUUAGAUUCCAUUUGAGGAAAAAAACCAAUGGUGCUCAAACAUCUAUGGACCAAAACAAGCAUAUAAAGCUAGCUCUUACAGUCACCCUCACAAAGAAAGAUGUGGUUCCAGAAUGGUUGAGAUAUGGUACCAACUUGACUUGCGAGUCAUUGCUAUAUGAAAAUGAAAGUGAGUCUUUUUAUGUUUGUCACUCACUUAGUUUGGCUAUUAACAUCACCUUUUCGUUAAGAAAAAAUAGGAGCUUCAUGUUCAUUGCAUCUUCCAAUGUUCUCAAUUAUGGGGUCAGAGAAACUGAAUCUCUAUAAUGAAAAAGAAAAGGAAAAGUUUAUAAUGGCACAAGUCACUCGAUAGAUACGCAUUUGCUUAAAGCACCUUUCACUAAAAAUGCUUUCGAGUAUUUGGUCACUUAGGUUUUGGAAGGCAAAAGAAAAAAAAAAUCAAAUGUUCUUCAAAUUUGAUAAAAAAAAUUGUUUAAUUUAAAUUCUUAUUUUAAUAUUAAAAAGUCGUGAGCAUCAGUGUGUAGGAUCCAGAUCAAAGUGAUAGUCUCAUUUCCUUUAUCUAUGGUUCUUAAGAAAUGUCUCGAUUUGACCCAUUCCUCGAAAGAAGUUUUUACGAGAUCCCUAUGUAAAGAUUUUUACUCAUUUUAGACUUUUAGUCUAAAGCUAAAAUAAAUUUAAAAACCAAUUUCACAUCUAUCUAUUUGAUAUGAGAUGGAAAAAGAAACUCCAACAAUUGAGGAUUGAAAUUAUGAUAUUGUAUGUACUACAAAUAAAAUCAUUAAAGAAAAUAACAUUGACAGAAAACGAUUACACAUAAAAAUAAAAUAUAUUUUAAUAAUGUUGUUCUGUUUUGCACAACACUCUCUACCCUCUAAUAAAAAAUUUUAAUUAUUUAAAUUUUUUGUUUCUAACACCUCAGAUUUUAGGAUAAUAUACAUAUACUGGGGAAUAUAAACAAAGACUUAGGAAAUCAUCACUAAUAAAAAAUAAUUCCAAAACUUAAAAAGUUUUUUUUAACGUAUAGGAGGGAUAGGUGCAUUCACAAUUUUGUAUUGUAUUCAUCAUUCUCAUUAAAGUAAUGGCAAAUGACUCAAUUGAUAAGGAAUUCAGAUGUCCUCCAACACACGGUCUUAUUCGAUGGCUCAUUACUUGCUACGUAUGCCUUCUUAUGAACACAGAAAGUAGAAAAAUUAGGUGUGUUUCAACAAAUGAUGCUCACAAUCACACUUUUAAUCCGUAUUAAAAUUUAAGAACUCCUCAAAUUAAUACCAACGAUGAUCAGAUGAAAGUGAUUGCUCCCGUAACAAUGAACCAAUCACUCACAUUAACACUUCUUUCAAAUCUCACUCAAUUGAUAGUAAAAAUUGGCACCAAAGUGAUACAAUGGCUUAACUUUUGUAACCCUUGGCACUAUGUUAGAACUCAAAAUAGAAUGGAAGAAGAUUCUUAUCUCAGCAACAAGAAUCAAUAAAUUUGAUAAUUCUCUUGUUAUCUCAGUGUUCUCCAAUUCGGGUAUGGAGUAAACCACAAUGAUAAAUCUUAUUUUUCAAGCUACCCAACUACUUGUUUUACAACUUAUUAAAUAAUAAAGCAAAACAACGGUUAACUCUUAUUUUAACGCAACUACAAGCUACUAGUAAGAUAUAGAGAUUUUCCAGCACAAGACCCGAUCCUUUAUGCAUCCAACACUUGACCAAGCCUUUUAGCCCCCACAUCAUUAGUAUUGCUCACAUCCAGAAGUGCCAGAUACUUUGGAUUAGGCAUCCUAGCCCUAGUGGUUCUGCGAGGUUCAACACACCAGCAUCUCGUUAUUUCUUUUUCAAGAAGUACCAUGUUGCAAGAUUGAUAAACACUUCAAGAAAGAACAAAACUAAUUAAGAGAAUCAUAUUGAUACCUAAAAUAAACGUCAAGUGUCUUUAAACAGAUUCCUUAUAAUAGCAUCAAGAAGAGUUGAUUAUAUAAUAAAGUAUAACUAGUAAUUUUGUUGAGUGGUUUACAAGCAGUUUUAUUUCGCUGGUCACCCAAUUUAAAUUUUAGAGAAAUGAGUUAAAAAUUAAUUUGUAUUUUACUAAUCCUUCUACGUUUUUAAUAAAUAUUAAAAUUAGAAACAAAAAGUAUAAUUAAUACAAGAUAACUCCAAAUAGGCUCGACAAUCGGCCACAUAAUUUCAUUCCCGAAAAAAUAUUGAGAGUGAGGAAAUAAGAUACCAUGAUGUGCCCCAGCUCACGUUUGUUUGUGCCUAAACACAACAAAUCUUGGGUCCGAUACUGAAAAUUUUGGACCCAAAAACCUUCUGGGAAGACCCAAUACAAUAUGUAAUUGGGCCUAAAUCUGGAGGCCCAUCUCAAAAAGUAAUAUAAUAUCUAAUAAAAAUUUUAGCUUUCCUUCGAAAAGGGUUUCGAGUUUCAACUCCGAGAUAUAUAUCUCGCUUCAAUUCUCUUCAAUUUUGAGCUUGUUCUUUCGCUUUCUGUCUGUCUUGCUGUAAUUCCAUCUUCUUUAAUUUUCGAUUCACAAAGUUAAUCGAGUUAAUAAAAAUGCAAGGAGGAGAAGAGCUGAGCAUUGAAGAGCUCUUUUCAAAUCUUUCUACUUAUAAAGAGCAGCUUCAACAGGUGCUGUAUUGCUUGUGUUCUUAUAGUUUUAGUUUCGUGGGUGAAUUGAAAUUUUUAAUUUUGAUUUUUUUUAACUUAAUUUUGUAAAUUCUGUAAUGGGUAUCUGAAAAUUUGUGGAUUGGGAUUAGGUUUCUCGAGUUCUAUAGAAACGGAACUGAAUUAGGGUUUCUAAUGAUGAUUAUGGGGUUAUGAUUAUUCAUUAGUAUUUGCUAUUUGUUGAAUUGUUUGUAAAUGAAUAGUUAUGUAGUUAAGUAUGCUCUUUGUGAUUCUUAAGUAAUUUGAUGGUGAAUUAUCAAUUAAAUUAAUGGUCAAUUGCACACUCAGAAUACUUAUUGUAUUCUAGUUGGUUUAAUUUUUUGGGGCUACUGUAUUUCUUACCAUCAUAAGUUAAAAGUCGGCAUUCUGGGAUAGUGUGAUUCUUAUGAUGUAUCAUUAUCUUUUGCCUAAGUCACAAGCCAAAUACCUGUGUAUGCUAAUGUUACUUUUUGUUGUCUACAUAUUUUUCUUGGUAAUAACUUCUCUCCCAUGAUGUGGAAUUAGGUCAGAGAACUGUUGGUUCAUGAUCCUGGAAACUCUGAAUAUGCUGACAUGGAAAAGGAGCUGUCUGAGGUGACUCUUAUGAUUGUUUCCUUUUACAUUGUUCUCUCUUGUAAAAUUAUCUUUUUCGAAUUAUUUGCCUUCUCACAUAUUAUGAGUAUGUGGAAUUCUUUCCCUGUGAAUCUGUUGCUUAUGCUCAUAGUCAGGGUAGUGCAUUGGGAAUAGGUGGUAAUCAUGUAGCAGUACAAAUUCAUGAAAUCCCUUUAGAUGUCUAGGUUAUCUGUGUAGAUCUUUCUAUCAUCUCUCUUCCCUCUCUCUUUUGAAGGAUCGACAUGUUGCUCAAAGAAGCAACAAUUUAACUGCUAAUGGCUUUCGUGGAGAUUUAUUUUCAUUUAAGUGUUGAAAAGGUGAGGAUGGUUUUUAUGUUGAAUGAAAUAAAGUUCUUAUUCUCCGGAAAUGGGGACUUCACGCAGAAUGAAAAAAGAAUUGUUGGAGCUAUAUGUGAAAGUUUAGAGUCUCAACAAGAUGCACAUCACUUCUAUCUUGGUUCCUUUGCAGGUGGUGCUAUGUGUGGUGAUGACCAGUCUGCUUCUCUCUCACCUGAUUUCAGAUGUCACAAUGAGAUUCUAAGUUCGAAUUUUGACAAUGAUAUGCUCUUUACAAUGCUAGUUUUGUGUCUUUUUCUUGUAUCAUAUCUGUGCUAAAAGAUUUAAGAAUGCAGGUGAUUGCCUUGACAGAGGAACUCCUUGCAACUGCAAAGCAAAAUGCUAUUUCUGUAUCUGAAACUGGGACAAGUGCCAGUGCAUCUCCUAAUUUACUCCAGUCUAAGGAGAAUAAAACAGUAAGUUAACAUCCUCUGGAUGUUAUAUUGUUUUGUUCUUUAGAAAUAUGCUUUAUACUUUCAUGGUAGCAAAAUUCACGUUGACUGGUUUGGUAAAUAAUUUAUUUAUGAAAUUUACCAAAUGUAUACCUUAAUGGCUUAACUCUACCUGAGUUAACUUAUAUAGGCAUAUAUUUUUGUUUUUCAAUUACCUGGCUUUUAUAUAUAAUUGGCUUCUUGUGCAUUAUCAUGUUGCUAUGACAGCGAAAUUUGUUCGCUCAUGAGGGUUUCAGUAUCUGAAUUUUUAACGCUAUUGGCAGUGCUACAGCUGAAAAAAAAUUCUGUAGAACAUUUUAUUUAUCUUUUAUGAUAAACAUGAAUGCAUUUCAGCUACAUAUUGUACGAAUGAUGUCCCUUUUUACAUGUAGGAAUCAGGAAGCAUAUCUGAUAAUCAAGAGAAGCUUGCAGUGGGCACCAAAGUUCAAGCUGUAUAUAGUGAAGAUGGGGAAUGGUUUGUAUAAAACGCUGAACUAAUCUUCCUUAUGUUUUUGGAUUCUUUAUUUUCAUUUGCUUUACCUUCUUUUCCCUUUUUUUGAUUAGUUGAAUGUCCAGGUAUGAUGCCACUAUUGAGGCAAUCACGCCGAAUGGAUACUAUGUUACUUAUGACAGUUGGGGAAAUAAGGAAGAGGUAAUUGUCUCUUUAUUUUGGUUUGGUUAUUUAAUAAAAAGGAAGGUGGUGUCGUUACAUUUUAUUGGCUGCAAAUUCCAGGUGGACCCUGCCAAUGUAAGGCCUGUCAAUCUAUUGGUGGAAGCUGAGAAGGUAGCUGAAGCUACUAAACUAGCUAUCAAACGGAAGAUUGAACAAGCUGCUGCAUCUGACUUUCAGUCUAAAAGCUUGCCAGCAAAACUUCAUAUAAAUCCCGAUGAUCCGGAGGAUGUGGUAGGUGGUUUUCAGCAAAGCUUUAUUAUAUAUGUUUUCCGUCAAUUUCCUGCUUUCUUAUUCUCUAACAUGCUCCCUAAAUUAUUAGAUAAAAUGGAGCCCAUGGCUUUUGCCGUACCUUAUGAAAUCCCUCUUCUCACUUCGACGGAUUUAACUGAUGAUUUUCAAUCUAUGAUUUCUCGUCCUUGAAGAUGCUUUCUAACAGUUAUAUAUUCGCAGAAAGCGGCAAAGCGUAAGAAGAUACAUGCUUUUAAGUCAAAGAUGCGAUUCGAGCAACUUGAAGUAACCCAAAAUAAACGUCAAAAUGCAUGGCAGCAGUUCCAGACAACGAAAGGCAAGACUAAGAAGGUAUGAUGAUAGAUGUUUUUGCGUUUUCUGACUUUUCAACGUAUACUUAUUGGUAUUUCUUCUAUAUACACUCCCAGGUUGGUUUCUUCUCUGGGCGCAAACGAGAGAGCAUCUUCAAGUCUCCAGAUGAUCCUUAUGGUAAGGUUGGUGUAACGGGAAGCGGAAAGGGCUUGACAGAUUUUCAGAAGAGGGAAAAGCACUUACAUCUAAAGGGAGGUGGAAUUGCCGAUACUGAUGAUUAGACUCUCAAGUUCCCUUUUAAUCUUUCAUGUUUUUUGUAUACUUGCCAGGGACUUGUCCUAUUUACAUAAAGUAAAUGAGUUGCCUGUGCUAGGAUUUAUAACUCAAGUGAAUGUUCAGAUACUGACACUAUUUGUCUUCCGUCUAUAGAGAAGAUUUAAUUUUGUAGUAUUUAGUAGUAUUUUUUCUAUGUUCGACGCGAUGAGCCUGUUUUUGGUCGGUUAGCCAUUGUAACGAAACAGAGAGUACCAGCUAAACAUAUGCGAGACAGGAAUGAUAUUUCCAUGUUUUCAAUGUUGCAUUCAUGGGUGGAGAAAAUGAAAUGAGAUUAUAUUCUAUGGUCCAUCCGCAAUUUCAUUUUAAUAUAUUGGAGACACAAAUGAUAUUCCCCCUAAAUGUUUGCACAGCAAGAUCAAACGGACUAUAGAAUACAUUUCAUUGAUGCUCAUCAAAAUCUUUUACGUUAAAACGUUUGAAACUACUCAUUGGGUGAGUUUAAACCAUUUCCCCAGACUGAGGACCUUUUCAGAAGGAAAAUGAGAGCAAAGACGCAACAGAAACAGAAUUCACCACCACAUUACCGCAUUGAUAUUAUCUUCCAAUCACAUGUUACCAUUUGUGCCAUGAACUUAAUUUUACAAUGAUUGGUUUCACCCACAGCAACUUAUAAUUGGACUGUCCUGCCCCAUCAACAUGAUAUGAUUAAUUUCCUGUGAGAGAACCAAAUUAGAUUCCAUCACCUUAUAUAAGUUAAGCCAAUGCAAACUAAUUGGGUAUCAUCUGCCUCAAAUGCCGUAAGACAUCUGUUUUUCUAUUCAUGCAAAAAUGCAUGGUAAAAACUAGGUUAAAAUAUCACAAUGAAAAAUGAGAUCAUGAAACGAUGAGGGCAGUGGACUUGACCCUAUACAAUUAACACAAUCAUCAUGAGGUUCUUUUCUAUAAUAAGUUGCUGCUGCUGCUGCUGCUUCAAGCAAAAUUUUUAAAAUUAUCAAAUGCCCUUUGUACAUGUACAUCAAUCAAACAGGGACCAACUUUCCCACUUGAUUUCUCCCUAAGGGUCGUUCUCUGCAGGCCCCACAACAGGCAAUAUACUCCUCUUCAUUCCUUGUCGGGAGAGUUUGAUAUGUUACGGUUCAAUUGCAAGGACAAAUCGACUCACUCAUUCCGGAUGGUAUAAAACUUCUCCCAUAGCAUUGGUGAUUUCGAAAUUUCACUCAUAAGGCUCUUGAAUUUCAUGCUGCAAUCUCCUCCACUGCAAAACAAGUAUACACAAGAAGCUUCAUUGUAAGUAAACUGCUGUUGAUCACUCCAUUAAACUAAUCAACGAGCAAUGAUCGCGAGUAAGCUAAAUGAUAGCAGAAACAUGUGGCUUUAUUAACAAAGCAAAAAAACAUGCCUUAUUUGAUUCAAGGACGCAAUUGCUCGCAGUGCACUGCGAAUCAUGUCUUCAUUACGGUCUACUUCUUGCUUGACAGCAUCUUGCUUUGGCUUAAAAUUGAUAGUCUUUUGGAGAGGAUCCACCAAUGAGUCCAACACUGAAAGUAAUAAUAGUAUACAUGAGAUGAAGAAAAUCUGCAGCACAUUCAAGUCUCAGAACCUUUGAAUCAAAUUCAGUCUUCAAGUUUAAUCAGUUACAUUACUAACCUGCUAAUACAGCAGAUGGACAUUUAUCUGCUAACUUUGAGAGGAUAAGAUGACAAGGCAUUUUAACAUCAUAAUGAUCUGUAAGAGCAAGAGCAAAAGUCACAUUAGCCAAGAGCUAACAGCCAAAGCAUGUAGUGGAAAGAGGAAAUCAAUUAAAGACCAAUGUUCUUCAAAAUUAGAAGUUAGAAGCAAAAUGGAAUCGUCUUUCAAACUCAAAUGGUAACUUACAUGCAAAAAGC